UUCAAGUAAAUACAAUCCUAUAGGAAAAGUAUAACUAGCAACCAAAUCUAUCUCGGAUUUCUCAACCCAAGAAUAUCUAUAACUUACGAUAUUAUUUGUAAAACACUGCAAUUCAAAACAUGGCAUGGCCAAAACUAAGGCUCCACAAUUAUCUUUCCGGUAGCAUGGCCAUCGCUGAUCCUAUCCCAAGCGUCCUCCGCCUUGGUCAGGGGAUACUUUGAGUCAAUUAUAGUCUUCAGCUUCCCUUCUUUCACCAACUUAAUAAGAUACUCAAGGUUAUCAGCCAUGGGAAAUAAGAACAGUGGCACCAGUUGCUUCUUAGAAAAGGUAAGUUUCUUCAGUGCAACGCUAAACAGAGAGCUGGGGGUGGGAGUAACAUCUAUUACCUUACCGUUCGCACUCAAAUUAGGCUCAAAAGUUGACCAAGGAAUGCAUGUUGCACAGUGGAUCACAACAUCAUAUUUUCGACCAGAUGGACUCCUAAGAGCUGCACCUUCUGGGGUCUUGUAGUCAAUAACCUCAUCAGCCCCUAGGCUUUUGACCAGUUCAAUGUUGCGGGCACCACAAGUGGCUGUAAUAUGAGUAUUUCCGAGCUUUGCCAACUGAACCGCAUAGAGACCUACACCACCUGAAGCAGCUGUGAUCAGGAUGUUUGCUUGCUGACCACUUCCAUCAAGCUUGAUCCCUGCAGUUUGUGUAAGAGCCUGGUGAGCUGUGAGACCAGCAACGGGUAAUCCUACAGCGGUGGCUGCUGAAACUUCCGGUGGCCUUGCAACAGUUAAACUCUCCAUUGUCACGGCAAAUUCAGCUAGUCCACCUCCAGUCUUUGAUUCAUUGUCGAAGAACAGAAUGAGACAAAAGGGGACAUGGUAUGUAUCAAUGAAUGAUGCAUCAGAUAUCUAGGUGACACAUUCUGUCACUGGGUUUGCAUAUUAAGCACACCAAAAGUGGUUUUUACAUGCAAUAGUUCAGUCUCAUGCCGACUGGAAUGACACUAGGGAAAGAGGCACACAAAGUCGAUGAAGGGUUAACGAGGGUUUACAAAUACAACAAUUCAGAUUGGAACAAAUGGAUUCAACUUUUCAAAUUAGUAGAUACUUAUUCAGAUAUCAUUGAUGAAAAUAAUAGUUCUAAAUUAAGUUAAAUCCAUCUAUAUGCAUGUUUCCUAGAUGUAUGUGAAGCCUAAAAGAUGCUAUUUCCAAAACAUGAUAUGGGAGCUUAAUUCCCUUUUUCUGAAUUAUGUUAUCCUUUCAGUUAAAUUUUACUUCGCCGAAAACGAAGACUAAAUUUGAAGAAUUUCAAGUGAAACAGAGAAAAUGAGCUAGUAUAUAAGGGAACUUACAAGAGUGUUAACCUUCCCGACAACUUUGUCACCAGGUUUGAAUUUUUUUACUCCAGGUCCUACCUUUACAACCUCUCCUGCCACAUCAAUACCUGUUCCGAGUUCCACCAAUGAAUAUCUUCAGUUAAUAAAACGACUUCUCACAAAAUGCGGUCCUGUGAAAACUUCUACAUAAAACAUGUUAAGAAAUGCAUCCCACCCUUUCCCUUUGAAGAACUCGAAAAACUAUGCUAUAAUAUCGAUGUUUACGUAAGAAUCUCUCCCCGGAAAACACACAAAUUCCACUCCAGAAGUUUAUUAGAUGAAAUGAACAAGAAACAGGUGUUUAAGCAUUUAUCGAACAUUCGUACUACUUUUCAAGAAGAAGAUCAAAUAAUACAUGGAAUGAAGCAUAAUUACGUAAAGAGUUAUAAACACAAAAUGGAUCCCCUAAGUAGCAGCGUCUCAAGGCAGCCAAACCAAAUUACCAGGUAUGUACGGAAACCUGCGAGGCAACAAAGGCCAGAGCAUGCCUUUCUGAGCUUUCCAAUCAAUUGCGUUUAGACUAGUUGCCUCCAAUUUCAGCAACACCUCAUCUUUUUUCGGAUUUGGAAUCGGAACUUCAACAUGCUGCAAUAAAGGCCAAUGUCAUGACAAGAAUGUGUUCUGCAAAGUUCUUCAAAGCAACAAAGUAUCCACAUAAUAGACCAACAACUUUGUUUAACAUUUCAUAAGCAUAUACAAAUGGUAAUUUUCUCGAUAACAAAACCUAGUAACUGAGUAAAUCCCUGUUACUAUUUCUUUCAUCAUGUGAUUCAGAUAAAAACAAUAAAAGUAAAAGAUAAAACCUCUUCCUUUAUCCUUUCCUUCCCAACAUCGCAAUGACUCAAUCAAGUACUCGUAUUCCAAGUGGGAUUGCAGUUAUUAAACUGAAAAUAUGACUUCACCCCUAGAACAUAGAUUUUUUAUGUAAAACCCGACAUAAUUGUUUUACUUGAUUAAACCCCAAUAAUUAGGAUCCCCAUAAGCAUAUUCCUUAAUUAAGCUUGAAUACAAAUAUUUUACAUGUUUCCAAUGGCUAUAUUAUCCCUAAUAACAAUUGGAUUUAGACAUUUCUUUUCCUAUUCUAUAUUAUCCCUAAAUGGGUACAUUAAUGAUAUAUAAAUAGACAAACAUUAUGAAACUCAUUGAAGGCGCAAAACAAGGAGUAAAUCUUUGAUAUUGACAUGAUUGGAGAAUACUUGCAAUUUUGUAAAAUGAUUGCAACUCAUAUUAAAUUUUGGAUUUUAUUUAGAGGUUAAGAAGUGCACGGGUAUUGAACUCCCGGAAGAAAAAAAGAAAAAAUACAGGUGAGUUUACGUUUAUGAAAUAAGAGUUACAAGUCUAUAAACAACCUUUAAACCAGAAGUUCCGCCGCCAUAGUUGUCGUACUGAACAGCGUGCAUGGUCUCAUUGGCCAUAGUCUCUCAGUUGUAAGUCCAACCAACGUUCCGAAGAGCCGCAGAAACUUGAAGCUCCUCCCUCCCGGAUUCUAUCAAAUACAGAGCUUAUGCUAGUACAGCAAUAGACUCAUUAGCCCAUGUCUAUAGUGGAACAAAUAUACGCGUGAUUGAUUGAUGUUCACUGAUUGACCCUUGUCUAUUGUGGAACAAAGACACGGGAUUCAUGGGCUAUAGUGGAACAAAUAAUACGCGUUAUUCAUAAUGAUGUUGACUGAUUGACCCUUGUCUGUCGUGGAACAAAUACACGUGAUUCAUAUUGAUGUAGACAGUACAAUCAGUAUAUGGUUUACAGUACGUAUGUGGUCCACAUGUUAAAUAGACGAUCAAUAAUUACAUGGUCCCUAUGUUAAAUAGACAACACGUAAGUGGUCCAUAUGUUAAAUAUACAAUAAGUGUAUGCAGUAGCAGAACCGGGAAGAGAUGGGAAAUUCAAAAUAAUGCAAGAUUCAAUCGAAGUGGUUGCUUUUAUAUUGGAGAGUGUAAAGUUUUGAGUCAAUAUUCAUAGUAGAAAAUAGUCUCUCCACUAAAACGGUUGUAAACGGUAAUAUCAAAACCAAUGUAAUAAGCUUAAAUUGGCUAGGUUUAUAUUCUAAAAAUAGACGCUAGUCAAACAGCGGACUGGAACUUAGUAGCUAGGCGCCUAAGACAGAUCUAGGCAUGAGCCUAGUGGGAUUUAAACGAAUUUCUUUUAUCAUAAAAUAAGCAUUAAGUUGUAGGCCUAUUUGAUUGAACGAUCUAGGGUUUAGAAAGAGAGAAGGAGCCGACUAUAUUAGGAGAAGAGAGAGUGAUUUAAUCGUGAGGUGUGUUUGAUUCACACAAUUGUGCCUUUAUUUAUAGUAGUAGGAUAGGUAAAAACAUUUUCCUUUAGGAUUACAAUAUUUAAUAGGUAAUCAACCCCUGAUAUAAAUAUAAGAUACAUUCCCAGAUUCCCUAAGAUUUACACAAUCACAUUCCUAUUCUAAAUAUGACUGCAACACUUUCCCUUGUAGCUAACGGGGGGAAUACGUCUCCUCGUAAUCACUCCCAAGGCGCUGAGAGAAGCCUUGCACUACGAGGUGUGCUUUGUAUCGUACUAUUUCAUUCUUCUCAUUACGCUUCCUCACGAAAACCCACUUAUAGCCAACGGGUUUCACGAGUUGUGGUGUAGGAACGAUAGGUCCAAAUACCUUACGUUUCGCGAGCGAAUCGAGUUCAACCUGGAUUACUUGUUUCCAGUUUGACCAAUCAGUUCUACGUCGGCAUUCAUCCAUCGACGGAACGUGGUUCAAUGUCAUCACUAAGCAUGAUGUUAGUAGCUACUGAAUACGCGAAUGCAUCGUCGACGAUCAUUUCAUUCCUAUUCCAAACCUUAUCUAAUAUUGCGUAAUGGACCGAAAUCUCGUGAUUCUCAAGAGGCCGGCAUGUUUCGUCUGAAGCAUCGCCGUAAUCUAGAAUAACCUCAUGCGUUGGAUCAGAUGAGUGAGCGAUGGUCGGAUUCAAACUAGGGUCACUAGUUGGUGCCAUUUUCCUCUUCCAAGGUUGUGAAUCCUUUGAACCAAGGGGUCUGCCACGCUUCAGGAUAGAAGCAAAUGAUUGGCUAGCUGCCAAUGUACCGUACCGCGUGGAAGGUGCGGCCUCCCUACCUUCGGGGACGGUCCGGCCUUCCCAGGCAGGUUGUUGACGUACACAGGGUACAUCUAUCCUUGCAGGUAUGUUUGCAGCGAGUAUAUGUGAUAUUGUCACCUUUGCUAGAUCAUUAAAAGCAUCCAGCAUACUUUGAGCAAUGCUCUGAAAAUCUAUAAUUCGUCGCACCUCAAUUUCAGAUUGGGCAGUGCGGGGAUCUAAAUGAGACAUAGUGGGAGCAUACCACGACAAUUUGUGGCGUUCUACGAGAACGUUAGCAUGCUUAUCUCCCCCUAAUGACCGGAAGACUGUCUCAUCAAAGUGACAAUUUGCAAAACAUGUGGUAAAGAGAUCUCUUGUCAAUGGUUCAAUGUCAUCACUAAUCAUAACCGACAUAGAUUCCCAUUUUUCUCUGAGGACCCAUUUUGGUACGUAGUGACGGUGCUAUUGGCACAUAAAUGGCGCACCCAAACACCUAUAAAUGCAAGACGUCAGGCUCGUAUCCAGUGACCAACUGUAACAGUGAAUAUGGUUGAGUAGCGGUGGGCCUUAGGCGGAUCAACAUAGCUACGUGCAAUAUUGCAUAGCCCCAGGCAGAUACUAGCAGUUUGGUUCUCAUAACCAAAAUCUGAGAUAUCAAUUAAAUGCGCUUUAUGAAAGCUUAUGCCAGGCCGUUUUGGAUGUGAACAUACGGUACAGGAUGUUCCACAUCAAUCCCUAAUGACAUGCAAUAAUCGUCAAACAUCUGUGACAUAAACUCUCUAAUGUUAUCCAGUCGAAUCAACUUAAUCGGAUAAUCAGGGUGGUGAGCCCUUAGCUUAAUGAUUUGAGCUAGGAGUUUAGCAAACGCGGUGUUGCGUGUGGACAACAAGCAAACAUGUGACCAUCUUGUCGAUGCAUCAACCAACACCAUAAAUUAUCUAAAUGGUCCACAUGUUGGUUGGAUAUGUCCACAAAUGUCCCCUUGAAUCCUCUAAAGAAACUUAGGGAGGUCGUGAAUAAUCCUUUUGUAUAUAAGGGUUAAGUAUUUAACUUCCCUAAAGAGCACGCUUUGCAUGGCGGGAGUCCAGCAUAUGGAUGUAACUUAUGCCCCGUGUGCAGAUUUGAGGAUACGGCACAUCAUAUCACAUCCAGGAUGUCCCAAACGGUCAUGUCAAAGCAACAAAGUGUCCUAGAACUCAGGCAUAAGGCCGGCCACACUGUGGGCUUCUAUGCUGGGAAUGGUUAUGAUGUACAAUCCACUCGGCAGACGUUUCAACUUCUCGUAAAUAUGCUUCUGGCCAUAUUCGUAUGAAGUGAUACAUAGAAAUUCAGAACCAUUAUCUUCUGUGGUUUCAAGAUGAUAUUGAUUAUCUCGAAUAUCUCUAAAACUCAGCAACGUUCUUCCGGAACGUGGAGAAUAAAGUGCCUUGUUAAUGUUCAAGAUUGUACCAUUAGAUAACAUGAUACGUGCCUUUCCGUAUCCUGCAAUCAGGUUGGAUGAGCUUGAGAGAGUUGUAAAAUGAGCUUUCUUGGGUAUUAAGUUAGUAAAAUAAUGUCGUUCACGCAAGAUGGUGUGUGUGGUUGCACUAUCUGCCAGACAACUAACUUCCCCACUAGACAUACAUAGAAAUAAAUUGAUUAAAUUGGUCACAUGCAUAAAUAUAAGUCCAUUCAUUCAAUUAACCAAUUCGAGAAAAUAAUAUCCAUUCCAAUAACAAUCCCUAAUUCAAAACAAACCAAAACCAAACAAAUUAUUCCAAAUACUUAGAAAAAUUGUUCAAAAUUAAACCAUAAAUCUAGAAAAAUAGGGGGGGUAUGGCCAGCCACUCCUAUUGGGUUCGGCCUUUAGGGGUAAACACCCUAAAAACAUGUCUAAUUUAUUCAUCCAUAAGCGUUGACGCCUCCUGAAAAUCCGAAAUGUCCAUUGAUGUAGUUGCAUCUUCCGGAUGAUCCACAUGUGCAAAGUUAGACUCAUAACUGGAAUGAUACUUGGCAAUAGCCUCAGGGGAAGCUUGACAUAAUAGUGACCAAUGAUCAUUUGAUCCACAAUGAUAGCACAUGUCCAGUUCAGCAGAAGCAGGCUGAACGGGAGCUUUGCCCUUAUUCUUGAAGUUUAUGGCCUUAGGGGAGAGUGGUUGACGCUGCUGGGUUACAUUUCUUCCCUUAGAUGUGGCACUUUGUUGACCUUGGGCUUGUGGUUGGGUUUGCCACCCAUUGCCACAGCUACGAUGAUUCUUUCGUCAUUUAUGGCUACUAGAAUAGGUCGCAUGCGCUUCAGCUUAGGCGUUCGAGCCAAUUGAUCGAGCUUGAUGAUUCUUCAUCAAAAGCUUGGUCUGCUUUUCAGCGAUAAGUAAAACAGAGAUCAAAUCCAAAAACUUGGUGAAUUUAUGUGCCCUAUAUUUUUGCUGCAGGACAAUAUUGGUGGCAUGGAAGGUGGAAUAAGUAUUCUCCAGAAGAUCUGAUUCGGUUAGUUCCACUUUGCAGAAUUUCAACAGUGAACGGAUUCUACAAACUUCAGAGUUGUAUUCAUUCACAUACUUAAAGUCCUGGAAGUGAAGAUGUUGCUAGUCGUGUCUUACUUCAGUAUGUCUUUCUGGCGAUCAAAACGGUCGGCCAGAGCAAGCCAAAGGGUGCGUUGGUCCUCCUCAGCGAGAUACUCAGUCUGCAGUGCAUCAUGGAUGUGCCUUCGAAUGAAGAUCAUUGUAGAAGCCUUCUAAGCUUUGUCAACAGGUUUGUCGGUGGUAGGUGCCUCGAUGGUGGCUCUGAUGCCCUUUGCAGUCAGAUGGAACUUCAUGUCUUGAACCCACUUCAGAUAGUUUCUUCCAGAAAAUUCUAGAGCAGAGAAAUCGAGCUUGUUUAAGUUCCACAUGUCCCUAAAACAGAAGGAAAAACGUGAGUAGUCAUAUGGUAAGCUAUAAACAUAUAUCGUAAAACAUACAGGUUCUAUAGGCAUGUACUGGUUUAAUUGAUGCAUGAAAACUACAGGUUUCAUGUGGUAUGUUUUGAAUAAAAACUGCGGGUUUCAAAGGUACUAAAUUUGAAAUUACAAGUUCAAUUUAGUUUUAUGAACAAUUAGUUCAUAAUGAGAUGUUCCUGCAAGAAACACAGAAUGCAAUAUACUAAUUUGAAUAUAGUGGAUUUGAGGUUCUUCGAGAACUCAAGUGUGAGAGCGUCGUUACUACGAAAGUAUGUGAUGGUUCAAAGUAAAAAAAUAAAUUAUUGAAUCGUUAAUGUCCAAAAGUGAUCUUUAGGUCAAUAAUUUUGGAUUCAUUAUUAUAUUAAUGGACUGCAUGACUCAAUCAAGUACUCGUAAUCCAAGUGGGAUUGCAGUUAUUAAAUUGAAAAUAUGACUUCACCCCUGGAACAUAUAUUUUUCAUCUAAAACCCGACAUAAUUGUUUUACUUGAUUAAAACCCAGUGAUUAGGAUCCCCAUAAGCAUAUUCCUUAAUGAGCUUGAAUUCAAAUAUUUUACAUGUUUCCAAUGGCUAAAUUAUCCCUAACAAUAUAUCAAGUUUUUUUUUUUUAACAAACAAUAUUUUUUACACUAAAGGAGGGGUGAACUUAGCCUCAUAAUGAGCUAGCAAUAAUGAGGUCUAAAUUUGCCUUUGGCGAAAAUUGAAGGUAAGACCUCUCUCUUUAACAAUUGUUCUUGCUUCUUAUUUUUUGUUUGAAAUUGAUUUAUUAUAUGCCACUAGGUAAAUUUGUGCUUGUAAAUAUAGAUAAAUUAGUGUAAAUAUAGGUAAAUUAGUGUAUUUCUUAUGUGAUGUCAUAAAAUAAUGUAUCUAUUCUUUUCUCACCCUUUAGUUGUAAUACUUCGUUGUAUGAAAAUAAUGUGCUUAUAUUGUGUCGGUAGGUAAUUAUUGCACAUGAAAAUGCAGGUAAAUAACUUAUAUAUACCAUAUAAGUAAAUUAGUGAAUCAACAAAUUCUAAAUGGGUACAUUAAUGAUAUAUAAAUAGACAAAACAUUAUGAAACUCAUUGAAGGCGCAAAACAAGGAGUAAAUCAUCCAUAUUGACAUGAUUGGAGAAUACUUGCAAUUUUGUAAAAUAAUUGCAGUAAUCGGUCAACUAUUUCUCUAGCUUGCAACUCAUAUUAAAUUUUGGGUUUUAUUUAGAGGUUAAGAAGUGCACGGGUAUAUUGAACUCCCGAAAAAAAAAAAAAAAAAAAAAAAACAAACAAACAGGUGAGUUUACGUUUAUGAAAUAAGAGUUACAAGUCUAUAAACAACCUUUAAACCAGAAGUUCCGCCGCCAUAGUUGUCGUACUGAACCUCGUGCAUGGUCUCAUUGGCCAUAGUCUCUCAGUUGUAAGUCCAACCAACAUUCCGAAGAGCCGCAGAAACUUGAAGCUCCUCCCUCCCGGAUUCUAAGAAAUACAGAGCUUAUGCUAGUACAGCAAUAGACCCAUUAGCCCAUAUCUAUUGGGGAACAAACUGAUACGAGUGAUUCAUAAUGAUGUUGACUGAUUAACCCUUGUCUAUUGUGGAACAAAUACACGUGAUUCAUAUUGAUUUAGACACUACACUGAGUAUAUGGUCCCCCCGCUAAAUGUACAGUACGUAUGUGGUCCAUAUGUCAAAAAGACGAUACAAUAAGUCCCCAUGUUAAAUGUACAGUACGUAUGUGGUCCAUAUUAGAUCUGACAUUUGUGUCCUGUUUUUCGUAUUCGUGUCAGUUUCAUGUCAUACCUGAUAUCUUAACGGAUCGUGUCGUGUAAUACCCGUUAAAAUAAACGGGUAAAAUAAUCCGACCCGAAAUCAACCCGAUAAUAUAAACAGGUAAUAUGACCCGACCUGUUACCUAUUAAGGAAAAUAUAUUUUAAACCAAUAAAUAAUCAAAUGAAAAACAUAAUACUCAAUAAGUAUAUACAUAUCUUAUUGUCACAUCCAAAACAUAAAAACGUAUUUUUCUUUUAAGUAUAUUUUCACUUACCUAAAGUCUUUAAUAGUUUUUUAAUUAAUGUAGAAGGGUAAAAAAAUAUAAAAAAUAUAUAUAAACGCUCAUAAUGACAAGCUUUACAACUUUCAUGAAUAGCUUAACUUUGAAAUUCGCCAUUAUAAUCAUAUAAAUCAUAGAUCAAAAUUUAACUGUUGAUUGUUGUUUACAUUUACGCUUCAUUGUUCUCAUCAAAAUUUUUUUUUCUUCAGAUUUUCUUUUUUGAAAACUUGAUCUAUUAGAGGAUGCAGAAAGAUAAACUGUUUGGAUCGUUGAUAUUAUAUUUAGAGUUUCACGGUUAGUGAAAAUAUUGCUUGAUGUUUAUAAAGUUUCUACAAACUAUAUGACAUCGACUCAUAUUUCAGUUAACCGUAAAUAUCAAAACGUGAUAUCAAAGAUCUGAAUCGUUCAUCUUCUUACAUCUGCCAGAUGAUCAUGUUUUCAAAAGAAGAUAAUUUUUAAAAUAAAAUUCAGUAAGAAGAAUAAAGUGUAAAUGACAAUCGACGGUUAAAUAUAAAUUGAAGGUUUAUAAAUUAUAGUGUUGGAUUUCGAAGCUGACCCCUUCAUGAAAGCUGUAAAGUUUGUCACUAUGAGUGAUUUUGUAUUUUUUUUAUACAUUUUUUACACUUCUACAAUAAUUAUUAUUAAUUUUAUUAAUUUUGUCCUCAAAUAAAAAAUAUUAUUCAUGAAGGUUUGGAAGAUUUUAAAAAUCUAAACGAUAAUGUAAGUGUAACCAUUAUCUACUCGUGGAGGAAUAAUGAUGACUUGCGAGUGUUUAUAUAUUUUUUCAUAUUUUUCAUACUUGUAUGUAUGUCUUCUUAGUUUUUGCCUAUACAAAUAAUAUAUUAGUUUAUUUUAAUUUUGGACAACAACAUGUUAAUUAAAAUUUAUCUUAGUAAUGAUAAUAAGGAACUCUCAUAAUAAAAAUAAAUAAUGACAAAAACUUUUUUUUUUAAACUUAUAUAAAAUAAUAAUACAAAACUUUAUAUUUAAUAUAGAAUAUAUUGUAUAUAUUAAUAUAGCUAUUGUAUUUUAUAAUAAAUCUUUUAGUAAUUAAACUUUAAAAUUAUCAAAAUAAAUUUUUUCCUAACGGGUCGAAACGGGUUACCCGCAUGUAUACCCGUUCAAAAUCCGUUAUUAACGGGUUCUUAACAGGUCACCCGAUAAGUUAUCGUGUUGACCCGAAAUCCGUUAUUUUUCGUGUCGUGUCACUGUUCCAUGUGAGAAAUUACCGGGUCUAGUCCAUAUGUUAAAUAGACAAUAGAAUAAGUCCCUAUGUUAAUUAGACUACACGUAUGUGGUCCAUAUGUUAAAUAUACCAUAAGCAGGGUUCUAAAAAACAUUAGGUGCUAGUCGGGCGGCGAGCUAGUGCCUAGCGCUUAGGCGGCCUAGGCGGAUUUAGGUAAAUUUCUUGUAUAUCUUGUAAAUAAGUGCAUAUUGACACUUACAAAAAAUUAUACUUGUAUGAAAUUCAUGGAUAAGAUAAUAAAAAAAUGAUAAAAUGCAAAAAGAGUAUCCAACAAGUUCAAAAUUUUAAAACACAUUAAGCAUAUAUGUCAUAUAACCAUAAUGAGGAGUAUUGUAGGAUGACACAUGUACGACAAGCUGACAAUUUAAAACCACAUAUUCAGCGGAUUUAAGUAAAUUUAUUAUAUAUCAUAUAAAUAAGUGUUUGUUCAUAUCUAAAAUAUACAUAAUUUCAUUUAAAAUUAUAAGAUAAUCAAAUUUAAACAUUAAAUAAUAUGUUCUUUUUUAAGCGAGAGCUUUAACAUUUUAAGUACAUAAUAAAAAUACAUAUGGUAUGAUCUUAAAAAAAUAAAAUAAAACAUUACAACAAAAAAAUAAAAAAAAGAAUGAAAAGUAAUAACGGGUUAAGAGUGGAAAAAGAAAAGGGCAUAAAAAGUAGUAAAAAAAUGGUGAGAACCAUUCAAAGAAAACGUGCAGUCUGUAAUGGAUGCUUUUCCUAGAUAAAAGAUGGUGGGGACCAUCUUGAUUGAAUCAUGCAAACUGAAUAAUGAUCCAUGUUUACAACCAGACAAAAACAGAAACAAUAUUAAAAACAAAAUAAAUAUGUUAUAGUCGUAAUAAAUAAAUUAGCCUUAUGCAGAAACCAAGAUAAAAAACAAAUAAACAAAUUAAACAGCACAGGAAACAAGGAGAAAAAAUAGAUAAACUAAUUAACUAGCACAGGAACCAAGGAGAAAGAAAAUAAAGUAAAGCAUCAUCUUCAUCUUCUUCGCGUUGAGUUGCACGACGGCUCUGCAACAAUUUUUUCAGAUUCUGGCGUGCUCUACGUAGGCCCUCCUAGCCUUCGCCCAACACCGUCCUGACCAGCAUAACUCCGCCUAGUCCCACCUAAUCCCGCUUAAGCGUCCGUCAAAUAUAUUUCCGAUUUUGUGUCCGAUUAGACCAUCUCCAACCCUUGGGCUAAAAGCCAAAUUUUUUAGCCCGGAAAAUUUAGCUUUUAGCCCAGAAACAUCUUUUCUGCUCCAACCCUUCUACUCUAAAAUUUUAGCCCGGAAUUAUUAAAGAAUGAAAUUAGCCUAAAUUUUUUUCUUAAAUCAAUUUUUAAAAAAAAAAUAAAUAUGUAGAUUAUUGUAAAUUAAUUUUAUGAACAUUUUAAUCUAAAAAAAUUUAAAUUCCGAUAAACAUUUCGCAUUUAGCCCGGGGGGAAUUUGGGGGGGAAUUUGGCCCAACUUUAGCAUUCCCCUUUUAGCCCAAUAUUUUAGCUUGGGUUGGGGGGUGUUUGGGGGGAAUUUUGGGCUAAAUAUUUGGCAUUUAGCCCAGGGUUGGAGUAGGUCUUAGAAGCUAAUCGCAGCAGCAACCGAACGCCCAGCGCCUAGGCGACCGCCUAGACCGACUUUUAGAACACUGACCAUAAUUGUAUGCAGUGGCGAAGCCAGGAUUUGCCGAGAAGAGAGGUGAAAUUUAAAAGAGUGCAAGAUUCAAUUGAAGCGGUUACUUUUAUAUUAGAGAGUGCAAAGUUUUGAGUCCAUAUUUAUAGCAGAAAAUAGUGUCUCCACCAAAGCGGUUGUAAGCAGUAAUAUCAAAGCCAAUGUAAUAAGCUUAAAUUGGCUAGGUUUAUAUUCUAAAAAAAAUACGCUAGUCAAGCAGCUAACUGGAACCUAGUAGCUAGGCGCCUAGGAGAGAUCUAGGUAGGAGCCUAGUGGGAUUUAAAUGAAUUUCUUUUAUCGUAAAAUAAGCAUUAUGUUGUAAGCCUAUUUGAUUGAACGAUCUAGGGUUUAGAGAGAGAGAAGGGGCCGACUAUGGUUAGAGAGAAGAGAGUGAUUUAAUUGUGAGGUGUGUUUGAUUCACCCUAUUGUGUCUUUAUUUAUAGUAGUAGGAUAGGUAAAAACCUUUCCCUUUAGGAUCACAACAUUUAAUAGGUAAUCAACUCCUAAUAGGAAUAGAAGAUACAUUCCCAGAUUCCCUAGGAUUUAUACAAUCACAUUCCUAUUCUAAAUAUGACUGCAACACUCCCCCUUGAGUGUGUAAAUACUCAACAAACCAUCGCAUCAGAUCUUCAGCAGAUAAGGUAGAAUAGUUGAUGAAGUCAUCGGCACAACGGAUGAUUGCGAGUCUCAAAUUUAAGUGAAGUAUGCAUUUGUAGUAAAACUCACAAAAAUAUCGUUAUGGUAAAACCCAAGUCAUGGGGAAAACCCAUGGACUAAGGAGAAAAGUGAGAAGUAUGUAUAAUGUCUUUAAACAAACGUCAAAUUGGACGAAGGUAGUGAACUCAAUGGAGUAUGAUCAUCCCAAGAUGAGUGUCUCAUUAAAACCUCGUUAGGUAGCAAAAACCCAGUGGAAAAUGCUCUUAAUCGUAGGAAAAAGAGUACAUUAAGAUCAUGUGAGUAUGUUUCUAGAUAUUCCCCCUGAGUUAGACAUAACUUCUAAAUAAGAGAACUACAAGCGACUCAACUCAGAUAAUUUAAGCAUUUUGAUUCCUUGGACGAGCUUCUGAAAAGUAGACUUGGGCAAUAACUUGGUGAAGAGAUCAGCCAGGUUGUCCUGGGAACGGAUUUGCUUGACCUCAAUGUUCUGAUGCUACUACUGUUGGUGUGAGUAAAAGAACUUCGGGUUAUGUGCUUGGUUUUGUCUCCCUUGAUGUAUCCCUUCUUCAACUGCUUGAUACAUGUCGCAUUGUCUUCAAAUAUCGUCGUAAGAAGGUCAACGACUGAUGUAAGACCACUAAUGCUUCAAAUAUGUCCUAUAAGAUAUAGCGGUGUCUCUAAAGGUAAAGACAUAUCCUGUUUGAGAACGUGCCAUGUGUGGGUCAAACAGAUAUCCAGCAUCUGCGUAACCAACAAGGCGAGAAUCAAUCCGAGAACCAUAAGGGGCGGUAACACUCGAAGAUUCGUAGGUAUAGAACAAGCCCAAAUCCGUUGUACUUUUGAGGUAGCGAAAAAUGUCUUUAACAUCAUUCCAGUAACUGCAUGUGGGCGCAUUGCUGUAUCUUGCCAAAAUGUUCACAGCAAAUGAGAUGUCGGGUCUAAUGCACUGAGCCAAGUACAAUAAAGCCCCAAUUGCACUUAGGUAAGGAACUUUGGGUUCCAAAAUCUCUUCCUCAUCCCCUUUUGGAUGGAAGGAAUCUCGUUUAGCAUCUAGAGUCCGAACGACCAUGAGUGUACUCGAAGGUUUCGCUUUAUCCUCAUUAAAAGGAUGUAACACCUUUUGGGUGUAGUUCAAUUAAUGUACUAGGAUUCCAUGCAAACAAUGCUCGAUCUCCAGGCCAAGACAGUAUCGAGUUUUACCAAGAUCCUUCAUCUCAAAUUCCGAUUUCAAAUGCGCAUCAAUUUCCUCAUGCUUUACGGGACUCCCAAUGAGGUUCAUGUUAUCGACAUAAACUGCAACGAUUGCAAAUAAGGAAUGUGACCUCUUUAUGAACACGCAUGGGCAUAAUUCGUUGUUCACAUAACCCUGAUUUGUUAAAUAUUCACUCAGACGGUUAUACCACAUUCGCCCGGAUUGUUUCAAUUCGUAGAGUGACCUCCUCAACCUAAUAGAGAAAGUGUUCCAUGGUCUAGAACUAUUUGAACUAGUCAAUGGAAGUCCUUCUGGAACUUUCAUGUAAAUUUAUGUAUCUAGAUCCCCAUAGAGAUAAGCGGUUACCACGUCCAUAAGCUGCAUAUUCAGUUUUUUGAAAACUAUCAAACUGAUUAGGUAAUAGAAUAUUAUAAUGUCCAUUGCGGGGGAAUUCGUCUCCUUGUAAUCAAUCCCACGGCGCUGAGAAAAACAUUGUGCUACGAGGCGUGCUUUGUAUCACACUAUUUCAUUAUUCUCAUUAUGCUUCCUCACAAAAACCCACUUGUAGCCAACGGGCUUCAAGCGUGGUGGUGUAGGAACGAUAGGUCCAAAUACCUUACGUUUCAUGAACGAAUCGAGUUCAACCUAGAUUGCUUGUUUCCAGUUUGACCAAUCAGUUCUACGUCGGCAUUCAUCCAUCAAAGAAACGUGGUUCAAUGUCAUCGGUAAGCAUGAUAUCAGUAGCUACUGAAUACGCGAAUGCAUCAUCGACAAUCAUCUUAUUCAUAUUCCAAACCUUAUCCAAUAUUACGUAAUGGACCAAAAUCUUGUGAUUCUCGAGAGGCUGGCAUGUUUCAUCUAAAGCAUCACCAUAAUCUAGAAUAACCUAAUGCGUUGGAACAGAUGAGUGAGUGAUGGUCGGAUUCAACCUCUAGGGGUAAACACCUUAAAAAAAACAUGUCUAAUUUAUUCAUCCAUAAGCGUUGACGCCUCCUGAAAAUUUGAUAUCUCCAUUGAUGUAGUUGCAUCUUCCGGAUGAUCCACAUGUGCAAAGUUAGAUUAAUGACAGGAAUGAUACUUGGCAAUAGCCUCAGGGGAAGCUCGACAUAAGCAUGACCAAUGAUCCCUUGAUCCACAACGAUAACACAUGUCCAGUUCAGUAAAAGCAGACUGAACGGGAGCUUUGCCCUUAUUCUUGAAGUUUAAGGCUUUAGGGGAGAGUGGUGGACGCUGAUGGGUCACAUUUUUUUCCCUUAGGUGUGACACUCUAUUGACAUUGGGCUCGUGGUUGGGCUUGCUGCUCGUUGCCACGGCUACGACGAUUCUUUCAUCGUUUAUGGCUCCUAAAAUAGGUCGCAUGCGCUUCAGCCUAGGCGUUCGAGCCAGUGGGGUCAAGCUUGAUGAUUCUUCAUCAAAAGCUGGUUCUGCUUUCAGCAAGAAGGAAUACAGAGAUGAAAUCCGAAAACUUGGUGAAUUUAUGUGCCUUAUAUUGUUGCUGCAGGACAAUAUUGGUGGCAUGGAAAGUGGAAUAAGUCUUCUCCAGGAGAUCAGAUUCGUGAAAACUACAGAAGGAAAAACGUGAGUAGUCAUAUGGUAAGCCAUAAACAUAUAUCGUAAAACAUACAGGUUCUGUAGGCAUGUAUUGGUUUAAUUGAUGCAUGAAAACUACAGGUUUCAUGUGGUAUGUUUUGAAUGAAAACUUCGGAUUUCAAAGGCACUAAAUUUGAAACUACAAGUUCAAUUUAGUUUUAUGAACAAUUAGUUCAUAAUGAGAGGUUCCUGCAAGAAACACAUAAUGCAAUAUACUAAUUUGAAUAUAGUGGAUUUGAGGUUCUUCGGGAACUCAAGUAUGAGAGCUUCGUUACUACGAAAGUAUGUGAUGGUUCAAAGUAUAAAAAUAAAUUAUUAAAUCGUUAAUGCCCAAAAGUGAUCUUCAGGUUAAUAAUUUUGGAUUCAUUAUUAGAUUAAUGGACUGCAUGACUCAAUCAAGUACUCGUAAUCCAAGUGGGAUUGCAGUUAUUAAAUUGAAAAUAUGACUUCACCCCUGGAACAUAGAUUUUUCAUCUAAAACCCGACAUAAUUGUUUUACUUGAUUAAAACCCAGUGAUUAGGAUCCCCAUAAGCAUAUUCCCUAAUUAAGCUUGAAUUCAAAUAUUUUACAUGUUUUCAAUGGCUAAAUUAUCCCUAAUAACAAUUGGAUUUAGACAUUUCUUUUCCUAUUCUAUAUCAUUUUUUUUAACAAACAAUAUUUUCUACACUAAAGGAGGGGUGAACUUAGCCUCAUAAUGAGCUAGCAAUAAUGAGGUCCAAAUUUGCCUUUGGCGAAAAUUGAAGCUAAGACCUCUCUCUUUCACAAUUGUUCUUUUUUCUUAUUUUUUUUUGUUUGAAAUUGAUUUAUUAUAUGCAACAAGGUAAAUUUGUGCUUGUAAAUAUAGAUAAAUUAGUGUAAAUAUAGGUAAAUUAGUGUAUUUAUUAUGUGAUGUCAUAAAAUAAUGUAUCUAUUAUUUUCUCACCCUUUGGUUGUAAUAUUUCGUUGUAUGAGAAGAAUGUACUUAUAUCUUGUUGGUAGGUAAAUUAUUACACAUGAAAAUGCAUGUAAAUAACUUAUAUAUACUGUAAACAUGGAAAUUCUUGAAACAAACGAAACAAGAACACAUGUACAAAAUAAUAUUUUGUAUUAAUGAUUUUUGAGGUUACAAUCUCUCUCAAAUUUAAUCCUCUGAUUCGAUCUCCAUGAGGUGUUGAUUUGUGGAUGUGCGAUUGAUCCAAGGGCCAUUGAGGCUUGAACUUGGAUGAACGGUUGGAAAUUUCUUCAAGGGGCUUUAGGCCUAAUCUUGAGGGUUGAUGGAUGAACGGAUCUUCAAGGCUUUUGAGCUUGAUCUUGAAGAACUGUUGAUGAACGGAUCUUCAAGGGCUUUUGGGCUUGAUCUUGAAGAACGGUUGGAUGUGUGGAUUUAUUGAUGUUGUUGAUCCAAAAGGUCGUUGGGGCUUGAUCUUAGGAUGAAUGGAUUUAGUCACACGCUACGUGUAAAAUUUAUGUGACACUUGAGCAUUGAAAUUGUAAUUGUUGGUCAACAUUUAUUUCACCGAAAUUUCAAUGUCUACAAAUGCCCCCACUUCAAGGCGCGUCGUAUACAUGUGCUUGUCACGUGUAGGAGAUGCAUUUUAAAGUCCCUUAAUGUAAAUGUCGAUCCAAUGGCCAUCGAUGCUUGAUCUUGAAUUGGGCUGGAGAUUUCUUCAAGGGUCGUUGAGGCUUGUUCUUGAACUUUGUUUGAAAUUUCUUCAAAGGCCGUCGAGGCUUGAUCUUGAAUUAAAUUGGACCACAAGGAGCUUCAUGUGGUAGAUGAUCUUUGGCUUUGGUAGUGGAUGAAUCGGUACGUAUUUUCUUGCGCUUGUUGACUUUCCACAACUUUGAUCUUGAACUGGGUUGGAGGAUUUUCUGGUUUCCUCCAAUUAUUGACUUUCCACUGGCUUAUUCUUGAACUGGGUUGAGGGGUUUCUUCUGCUAGACUUACCCCAAAAUGUCUGGAUUUACUCCUUUUAUCUGGAGCUGAAUUUGGUUCAAGGAUGGUGGACACUUAAUCUUGAAUCGGACGUGAUUUCUUCAAGUUGGUGACUUAAUCUUUAAGGAUUUGAUUCAAGGGUGGUGAAUCGGCACGUGCAGCUCACAACGCCUAGCGAGUAGACUCAAGAAUUUGAGGGUCAAAACAAGUCCGCCAAAUCUAGAGUACUUGCAACCCUGACGAUAUGAGAUAUUUUUUGCUUUUGAAGAAGUAGCAGGUGAAUCGGCACAUGUUUGCUGUGCUUGUCUCCACAUGCUUCAAUGUAGCAUUUUCACUUACCUUAUCUGUUCUUCAGGCAGAUUUGGUAUCUUCUGCUAGACUUGUCUAUUUCCCCGGCGGAGCAAUGCUAGGUAAGCAAUCAGGAAAGGGUUCCAGGUAGUCGGUUCCUGACUAGGAGUUUGACUUCAAGUUCCGACUGAUUGCUCUCUUUCUUCUUGUCCUGUAGGUAAGAACAAGGACAAAGAAAAUGACAGGGAGAAAGCAUGAUAUGAGAUACUCUUGUUUUCGAAGAAGUGGUGGCGAUUUGACAGCAUUGCAUAGUGAGGCUUUGUUCUUCGGGGAUGGUGCCAGCGAAAGGCUAUUGAAGCUUUUCGAGCUCUUUGAUUAGGGCAACGAUGCCAAGCUUAGCUUUGAUUUAGACUCAUCCAUCUGGGUUAUGCGGUUCUGCAGGGAAGGGCGUCGUGCUAUAGUGAUCUGUUCUGGCUCAUCAUUGAUCCUUCUGCUUCAAUCUCUUGCAGUAUUUGCCCCCGAUGCAGGAGUGGAAUGCAAUCUUUGCAUUUAAAUGGCCUUUCAGAGCACUACUUCUUAGCGGCGAUGAGCACUCAAGAGCACUGCCAGGUAAGCAACCAGGCAAAGGUUCCGGGCAAUCAAUUCCAGAUCAGAAGUUUGAUUUCAAGUUCCGACUGAUUGCUUUCUUUCUCCUUGUCUUGCAGGUAAGAGCAAAGGUAAAGGAAAAGACGAGGAAAAAGCAUGAUAUGAGAUACUCUUGCUUUCUAACCUGAUGAUAUGAGAUACUUUUGUUUUGAUGUCAUUUGUUUGCAAGGGUAUUCCUGGAGAGGAAGAAAACUGAGUAUUUCAAGAGGCUAUACUAGGAGUGUACUCUCGGAGGUGAGGAAGAGUUGGGCAUUUUUUGUAGGUCUGCCUUGCUAUGGAGGACGAAGGUCGACAUAUAUAGGAAUUUUCCAACAGCCAGUAGUGGCACUAUUUCUUUACUCUUGUCGGCAACUGUUAGGUAAUUGAAACAGUAAGAUUCACGCGUUUUCGACUUUGUCAGAAAUCUUUGACAAAGUUGUCCGUGCUUUCUGCAAAGUUGAAAGGGUGGCGACAAACUUUGAUCCGGAAAAUCCAAUUUUUUUUUUAAUUCACAUAGCAGUGCCUCUUCGAUCUGUGAACCGGUGGCCUUGUUGCCUUUUUUAUUUCUGAACAAAAGGCCCGACUUUUGAAAUUCAGGGAGAGGUGCCUUUUUGGUUUCUGAACGGUCACGUUGCCUCUUCGAUUUCUGAACAGGCCUUGUUGCCUCUUCUUUUUUAUAGAGGCAUGAAUUCUGUUCAAAACACACUUAGAGAGUUGUCGCAUGUAGGAAUUUUUUUUUUUUAAUAUUUCUGAGAAUUCGAUUUACCCGACCUCUUCUUCCUUUAUCAUUUUUUUUACAAAUGGCUUGCCUAUCUGAUCGUCUUCUUGAUUUGAAUGUUGGGGAAGAUGUUGAUAUGUCUUCUCCAUACAACAUAUGGCACCCAUCCUUCUUAUCCCUCACCGGUUCUCUUACGGUUAGGGACUCUGUGAUGAAGAAUGACAUCACUGCUAUGGUGGUUGCUAGAAAUCUUCUCACCCCCAAGGAUAGCAGGAUCAUUUCCAAACGGUCUGAUGAGAUGGUUGUUCAGGACUCUCUGGCUUUCAGUGUUCAGUGUGCGGGCUCCGUAUCAAAUAUGGGCCAACGCCUUCUUGCUCGAACUCGUCAAGUCGAGUCACUAAUGGCUGAGGUGGCGAGUCUUAAGCAAGAGAUUAGAGGGCUUUAGCGUGAAAACAGAGUUGCACAUACUUGCCAAUAGUUACUCGACGAGCAUGAAGAGAAAGCUUGACCAGCUGCAGGAAUUCGAAAGUCGGAUUCAGAGUGACCAUCAUAUGGUUGUGGCUUUACUCCAGAGACACAUAUUGCAUUUGUCCUCUGGCGUUUUACCGAGUGUUGAGGCUCCAAACAAUCAACCUCCGGCGUCUCUUCUUCCCUGAGUUUCGCCGAGUGAUGAGGUGCCACCUGAGCAACCUUCUUGAAAUCAAUAAAUGAGGCUUUUUUCACUCAAUGGAUUUUUUUUAUUUUUUCUUUUCUUUUCUUUCGCAUGGUGCUGAUCCACCAUUCAAUUUUUUAUAUAUUUCUUUCUUUUCUUUCCUUCACGCGGUAAGGCACCAUUCCAAAACUUUUUUUCUUUCUUUCAUAUGGUGCAAUUCGCACCAUCCCACCUCCCUACUUUCUUUUGCUUUUUUUUUGUUUUUUUGUAUUUUUUAUCCUUCUUUUCAAAGUGGGCUGAUGGUGAUGAUCCUUUACAAUUUUUUAUUAGUAUUUUUUUUAUUUUUUUUCACAUGGUGCUGUGCACCAUCCAAACUUUUAUACUUUUUUUUUGUCGGCCAUAUAUAUAUAUAUUUUUUCUUUCUUUUAACGUGGUGGCACCACUUUGCUCCACCAUCCCAUUUUUUAUUAUUUUUUGGGUAAAUUACAUAGUAGCCCCUUAGGUUUGAGAUCUAUUACAAUCUCAUACAACAUCUUUAAAACAUUUCACUUUCAUGCCUCAAGUACUAUUUUAUUUCAAAAUAAUACCUCUGUUACAUUUUACAUCCAUUGAUCCGUUAAAUGCUGACGUGGCUGUCAAAUAUGUGCCACAUGGCUGCCAAAUGUAUGCCACGUGGCAAAAAUAAUAAUUUUUUAUUUUUUAUUUUUGAAAAAUCUUAAUCUUCUUAUAAAAAAUAUAAAAAAUAAUAAAAUAAUAAAAAAUAAAUAAAAAAAACCAAAACUUAGAAAACACAGAACCACCCCCGCAACCUCUCCCUACCCCUCUUUUCCCUCCCAACCACCUCCCUCUCCUCCACUCUCUUCACCUCCCCUCCCAUCCAAAAACCCACCCCACUCCCUUUCUCCCUUCUCUCAUAUGUAACCUCACCCACAACAUUCCAACAUAUUCAAAUCAUGAAAUUAAACAACAAUUUUCUCAAUUCAUACACAGAAAUCCAAGAGUUUAACCUUAAGGGACAGCAACCACCAUUCCUUGAAGCUCUGGAGUGAGGACGACCUGCCAUCCCAGCCUUGAGAACCCUAGCCCUAGAGUUCCUCUUCAGCACGUACUCCUUGUCGUAGGACCGCAGAGGGAGGUGGCUCGACGAAGGGAGCUUGUCGCCGGGGGCAAGGUUCGUGAGAGCUUGUCGUUGCCGGAGCUUAUCGUCGCAGGGGGGGAGGGUAGUCACGCAAGCUUGUAGCCGCAGCCGGGGGGGCGGAGGGGGCUUCAGGAAGAGCCUCUGCGAGGUGGGGUGAGGUGGGUCGUCUGGAGAGGGGGUGUUUAAGUUUAUGGGUUUUUGUGUAUGGGUAUGGAGGGAAGGGAAGAGGGGUUCAGCUUUUGCUUUUGUUUUUUUUAAGAAGAUUCAAAAUUUUCAAACAAAAAUUAUUAUUUUUGCCACGUGGCAUACAUUUGGAAGCCACGUGACACACAUUUGGCAGCCACGUCAGCACUUAACGGAUCAAUGGAUGAAAAAUGUAACAGAUGUAUUAUUUUGAAAUAAAAUAGUACUUAAGGUAUGAAAGUGAAAUGUUUUAAAGAUGUUGUAUGGAGUUGUAAUAGACCUCAAACCUGAGGGGCUACCAUGUAAUUUACCCUUUUUUUUGUAUAAAUUUUGAUGAUGGGCUGGGGAAUUUGCAAGGAAGGACGAAGACGGAAGGAGAGCUAGAGUCAAGAUUAGUGGUAGUGCAAAGCGUCGAGCUUCACGACCAGCUAGUCAUUUGACGGUGGUCGUUGAAGUUCUUCGCCGACUUUGAUCAUGGCGACCAAAGUGACGAGCUUGAGGUAGUGCAAAGCGUCGAGCUUCAUGACCGGCUAGUCGUUUGACGGUGGUUACUGAAGUUCUUCGUCGAUUUUGUUCAUGGUGGCCAGAGUGAAGAUGACUCACAGGUUUAGAUGCAGGAGCAUGGAGAGCACAGACGAAAGUGCGUUGAGGGCCGAAGAAGAAUGCGAGGAGACUGAGGAAGAAGCCCUUCCUCUUGUUCUGCCAUGGAAGAUGAACCUCUUCGAAAUCUGAAGCUCUACUACUACCACAACUGAGCACAACCAACAGACUCCGCCACGUCAAUUCCCUGGGCUCCCCCAAAGACACCUUUGCUUCAUGCUAAUCGUUGGAUAAGUGACAGCCGCAACUCUACCUCUCUACCCAGCGAGAGCCCCACCACAAGGUCACACGCCACCGAGAAUCUCUGCCCAACUAGCCGCUGCCAUGCUGCUGUCUGUGUCUUUCUUCUCUCAGCAACUAAUGUAUUGCCAGCCAUCUCGUUGUUUCCUCUGUGAGCCUCAUCAACGCCUACCGAGCCCUUGCCGAUGAUGCACGUCAUUCCUUUGAUCGCUUCAACGUAUUCAGCAACUCGACUGAGUCGCACAAGCCCAAACAACUCAACCUCUCAUCGAACUUGUUGACUUGGACUAUAGUUUCAGUCAUCGCACAAAUCUAGUCUGAAAGAGGCCGAGCUCAAGGUGUGGAGGGUCUGGAGCUUGACGCAGUGGACGUGGGAGGGCGGUGUGGAGAAGUUGAGAUAAUAUGAUCUCAGACACACUGAUAGAGAAGACUUGGAAAAACUUUGAUUUAUUGUACAACCGAAGGGCAGACGAGCCCCGUUGACUUGACUUCAAGUCUCCUCCGUCUGUGAGUCUUCAAGCUGAGAGUUUCGACCUAAACCACUAAGACCGCUUCCAUUAUAAUUGCCUUCGUAAAAAAAAUACAAAGUUCAUGGCCACCAACCAAGCAUCUUCACUCUGUGAGGCUGAUAUGUACACCCCAUGUGCAAUCUGUCACAUAUGUGUUACUUCUGCAUCAACUUCAACAUCAUAUGCGAAUAAUUUCCCAUCACUUGGGCAGCUGAGGAAGAGAAGUGGAGAGCUUGGAGGUUCAGCCCUGUAAAGAUGCAAAGUCCAGAAUGGAGCAACCCAGCCGAACCGACUCGAUUCUGGCAGGAGAUUUUGGAAAGGGAUCUUGAUGGUGAGAAGGGGGCCAAGAAUGAGUCUCGGUCUGCAAGACACUUCUCCAAAACAUUUCUCCAUAAAUGAACCCCAUUCUCAUCUUCGUACACAUCACAGAGGUUAAUCGUAUUCGAGCGCUGCGAUAGAUUCUCAACAAUCUUCCUCAUCACCAGGAUUUCAUUUGUGAGCAGCACACUUGAUAUGGACACUUGUUUUCGGGUUUGGAAAACGGCAACAGCAAAGUUAUUCUGGUCUCCUCUUUCUUGAUCUCUCGGCAGCAUCCCUGUUUCUCAACUGCCUUCUCGUUUUCUUGGAGAUAGGAUUGUCGUCAAGAAUUUCACUAAGAUGGCGUGGCUUGAUCCCAAGUAGUAUGCGAAUGAAGCUUGGGGUGUUGGGAGGAGGUACAUCCAUGGCUGGGUGUCGAUAGUGGUAGUGCUCGCAGCUCUUAGAUCUGAUGAAUAGCAACCGAAGUUGGCUUGUGCGUCGAGGCCGAAGGCAAUGAAUGCGAGGUUGGUGAGGAAGGACACGGGUCCAGCGGUUGCUGGAAUUGGGUUGCGCCGGCGCUGAAGAGCACGGAGGAAGCAGAGCGGCAAAACGAUGGUGGUGAAGGGCAGCUUUCGCGGAGGAUCUAGAACCAGGCGUCGUCUAACCGCCCGCGUGAUCGUACAUGUAAGACAUGAAGCUUAGAAUCACAGUGAAAGCGUCCUCCAUCUCUCGCCUUCUCAGCCAGGUUGACGAUCUUCGAAACCGUCGAUUCGCUCGGUUUCACAUCCUCCGAAGCCAUUUCAGCAGAAAGAGUGAGACUUGGGCCUCUUCAUGGGCCUAUUGGGUAUGGGAUCCGAUGGAGGUCAGGAGGGUAUGGCUUGGGCCUGGAUUUGGGCUGCUCAUUUCUGUGGACUUCAACUUGUGUUUCUUUGAUUUGGCACGGGUCUUAAGUGUAAGAAGACCCACUUUAACAUGUAUACAUUUUUUUUAAAUUUUUUUUACUACAAAGAAUAUUGUUUUUUUUUAUUUGUAAUAAAAUUGACUCUCAAUAGUCAAACAUUUAAUAAAACCUUAUUUUUUAUUUUGACGUGACUGUACUCGAAGUUGAUCGUUCGAGUUGCUUACGUACCCUUCCAAAGAAGAGAUCAAGUCAUAAUGUAGUUCAAAUACAUAUUUUUUUCGAUUUGUUUUAGUCCCGUACGUAGUUUAUGCUCUUGCGGGCUAGGAGCAUGGUCCGUUUGUUUUAGGGGUAGUAGCGCUUCAAGAAUCUGCCAUUGAUGGGGCCGAUAUUCAAGCUGUCUUCUGCCAUGAUUAAGUAGGCGCCAUUGGUGUAGACUUUUUCUAUUACGCCAGGUCCAUCCCACUUUGAUGUGAACUUGCUUUUUGUUUUGUGAGUUAUGAUGAUAAGUCUACGCAAUGUAAGAACGAGAUCUCCCACUUGAAAAGAACGAGGGCGAACUUUCUUGUUGAAAGCCUUGGAGAGUCGUGCUUUAUAACACUCCAAGUGCUGCUGAGCUUCAAGCCUUUUCUCAUCCAGUGCUUCCAGCUGUUGAAGAUGCAACUUUGUGUUUUCUUCAUCAGUCAAGCCUUCUUGUAUAGCCAUCCUUAGUGAGGGGAUUUGGCUUUCGAGUGGCAGAACAGCUUACACGCCGUACACGAGAGAAUAAUGCGUAGCUUGGGUAAGAGUCUUAUGUGUCGUCCUAUAUGCCCAAAGUGCUUCGCUUAUUCUUUCUUGCCAGUUUCUCUUUAUUCGGCCGAUCACCUUCUUUAGGAAGCUGCACAAUGUUUUGUUGAAUGCUUCUGCAAGACCGUUGGCCGGAGUAUGAUACAUGGAAGACUUGUGUAGUUUGAACUUGUAUUUCUCACAGAGCUCGUCCAUGAGUCGGUUGGAGAAUCGUUUUCCAUUGUCAGUGAUGAUGUAGCGAGGCACACCAUAUCGGUGGAUGAUAUGUUCCUUGAUGAAACAGACAACAGCUUCCUUCUUGACUUCCCUUAGGGGUAUGGCUUCAGCCCACUUGGAGAAGUAAUCUGUUGCAGCUAUGAUGUAAGCUUCUUCUGUAGAUGACUUUGGUGCAAUCGGCCCUACGACAUCCAAUCCCUAUGCAUUGAAUGGCCAUGAAACAACUGUAGGGUGUAAUGGUUCAGGUGGUUGAUGUAUGAAGUUGGCAUGGAAUUGGCAGGCUUAGCACCUUUUGGCGUGUUCCAGACAAUCUUUCACCAUGCUUGGCCAGUAGUAACCCAUUAUUUUGAGCUGAAAAUGUAGCUUUGGUCUAGACUGAUGCACCCCGCAUACGCCUGAGUGUGCUUCUUCCAUGGCUUGAUUGGCUUCUUCCUCACCUAGGCAUCUCAGAAGUACUCAUUCAAAAGAGCAUCGGUGGAGUGUUCCUUUGUAGUAAAGAAAGCAAGGUGUUUGUCGAUGUAUUUCGGAGUGAUGUCUAGGAUCAUUUGGAAGCUUUCCAUGCUCCAGGUAGUAGAUUAGCGGUUGUCUCGACUCUUCAGCAUCGACUGGAAGUAUUGAGAUGACAUUUGUAUCAUCCAGUAGCAUUUCAGUGACGAACGGGAUCACCCAUCUUUGGCAAACUGGCACGUCUGCAGCUUCAUCUUCCCCCUAGUGUCAUAUUUGAGGCUAGGUUGGCGAGAGCGUCUGCCAUUUGUUUUUCUUUUCUUGGCAUAUGUUCCAGUGUCACAGUCUUGAACUUUUGUAGCAGUUGAGUUGCCAGCCGGAAGUAUGGGACGAGAUCGUCUUUCCUCACCUCAUAUUCAGUUAAGAGUUGAUUGAUUAUAAGCUUGGAGUCACCAAAUACCUCAAGGGCUGUGAUUCCCAUGUUGAUCGCCAUUUGGAGUCUGAUGAUCAGUGCUUGGUACUCAGCGACGUUGUUGGAGCAUAGUUCGCUUAGUUGGAAGGAAUAAAGUAGUAUUUGCCUUUGUGGCGACAUGAAUACUACUCAUGCCCCUGCUCCGUUUGCUCAUGCAGAUCCGUCGAAGAACAUCGUCCAUGUCGGGAAGAUGUCAAUGUAGAACACCUCCUCAUCAAGCAAGUCAUCUGAGAUUUUCCAAUCAGCUAGGAUUGGAUGAUCGGCAAGGAAGUCUGCUAGUGCUUGUCCCUUGACGGCUUUAGUUGGUACGUAGAUGAUCUCUUAUUGAUUAAGAAGCAACGCCCAUUUAGCUAGUCGCCCUGUUAAGACUGGUUUGGACAUGACGUAUUUGACCGGAUCAGCUUUAGUAACUAGGUGGAUGGUGUAAGCAUGCAUGUAAUGCCUGAGCUUCUGAAUAGCAAACAUCAAGGCGAGGCACAUCUUUUCUAUUGGGGAGUAGUUCAACUCAGCGCCGGUGAAAGUUCGGCUAAGGUAGUAGAGUGCUCAUUCUUUCUGGGAUUCAUUCUCUUGUGCCAAGAGUGCUCUAACUGAACUUUCCUGAGCGGCGAUGUACAAUAUGAGCAGUUUCCCGGGCACAUACGCCCCCAUGACAGGUGGACUUGAUAAAUAUUUUUUUAUUCUUUCAAAAGCAUUGUGGCAUGCUUCGUCCCAUACGAACGGAACAUCCUUCUUCAUGAGUCGACUGAACGGUUGAUAACGCCCUGCAAGGUUGGAGAUGAAAUGUUUGAUGAAGGCUAGUCGUCCUUGUAGAUUUUUCAGCUCGUGCAGGUUUCUUGGUUCAGGCAUGCUUUGAAUGGCCUUGAUUUUUUAUUGGUCCACUUCAAUGCCACAGUGCUUGACAAUGAAGCCGAGGAACUUUUUAGAGGUGAUGCCAAAUGCGCACUUUAACAGGUUCAUCUUAAGGGUGUAUUUUCGCAACCUUUCAAACACUAUUCAUAAAUCCUUCAGGUGAUCUGAUCUUUUCUUUGUCUUGACAACCGCAUCAUCUACGUAACAUUCUACAUUUUUGUGUAGCAUGUCAUUGAAGAUUUUCUGCAUUGCGCGUUGAUAUGUGGCUCCAGCGUUUUUCAGACCAAAGGGCAUCACCUUGUAGCAGUAGAUACCUUUUGGAGUGCGGAAGGCUGUUAGUUCCUCAUCUUCGAGAGCCAUGUGAAUUUGAUUGUAUCCAGAAGAGCCGUCCAUGAAUGACAGUGCUUCAUAGCCAGUGGUUGCAUCUACCAUGAUUUUGAUGAUUGGCAAGGGGAAGUCGUCAUUCGGGCAAGCAUCGUUGAGGUCCCGGAAGUCUAUGCAAACACGUAUUUGUCCAGAUUUCUUAAGGACGAUGAUGAUGUUGGAGAUCCACCUGGGGUAUUGCACCUCUCGAAUGAAGCCUGCUUCAAUUAGCUUGUCAAUCUCAGCCUCAAUUUGUAGGAUGAGCUCCGAUCGAUAUCGCCUUUGAGUUUGCUUUAUCGGUCAUGUUCCAGGCUUGACUGCAAGAUGAUGCACAACGAUGACAGGGUCAAGGCCGGGCAUUUCCUUGUAGGUCCAAGCAAAGACGUCUUUGUACUCUAGUAGCAAUUGGUAAUACUCUUCUGUCUCAUCCGCACUUAGCAGCGCACUUACAAAGAUAGGCUUCAACUCUUUUUUUGUGCCUAAGUUAAGCUCUUUGAGAUCAUCAAUCGUGGCUUGCCCCCCAUCCUCAAGUUGUGGUGGUGCGGCAGUGAAGUCUUCCUCGGGGAUUUCUUCUUCUUUGCCUUCUUGGAUCGUGAUGUGGAAGACGUCUUGGACUUCCUCUUCAGUUCCGUCCUUUCGGGCUUGUUGACGUGAAGAUUGGCCGGUGUGAAUGAUGGUGCGCCUUCUCACUUUCAGUGAUCCAAUUGUGUCAACCUACAAGAUUGCUUGGCGUUUCAUCCUUGAAGGAAUAGAGCUUCGAACAUCAUCUUUUCUUGCCAAACUGUCGAGCUUUUCUUCCUUUGGCGUCAUUUCCCUCUUUCUAGAAGGCUUCUUGUUGUCUUCAAGUCUUUCCAAAGCUAACCAUCGCGGAGGAGAGCUAGCCAUGUUGCUGCGUUGCUUGGGUUUUAAUAACCUUUCAAAAACAGAGCUUUGGGAUGUUGGUGUGUUAAGCCUCUUGAAAACGGAGGUUUGGUCUUGACCACCAAUGCAAUCAAGUGCCGAAAUUCUAGGCCUUGAACGAUUCAUCCUAUCGAAGACUGACAUCAGAGGAGCGGACUUAGGCUCCUCUUGAUUUUGUUCAACGCUCAUGCUGAUGUGUUAAGUGCUAGCAUUUUUCGCUUUGCUUGAAAUCUUCACGGGUGCAUUUAGUGUGAAGUCAAGCCCAGCUUUGUUGUUGUCAACUUCGUAACCAUGCUCCUUCAACUUCUUUUGAGUCUUGGUGAGGUUAUAUUCUUUGUCGUUGAAGGUGUUUGAAACCCUCUUUCCAGGAUUCGAAAAGGAAGCGAAGUCGUACUGAGUUUUCGACAUGAGCUUGUAGGCGUUUGGAUCAAAACCUUCUUCGGUCCUCUUGGUUGGAAGAAAGCUUGGUUCCACCCCAUUUGGCAGAGCUUUUAUGAAGCCUUGUGGUAGUCUUGCAACCUUAGCAUCGCGUAGCUGUGUCAGAGGCAAAACUGCAUCCGUCUUGAGCAACUUUAAAUUAUCCUUGUGUCGUUGUGCAUCGAAUUUGCUUGCUCCAGUUUCGAACGGGGAUUGACCAUUCUUUCUUCUCGACAUCGAGAUGUAUCGGAAAACAUAACUUCUCCUUCUUACUUCUUGGGCAUGGCUUGCCACUCCUGCUUUUUAGGUGUUGCUUUGCCAGUGGAUUUUAUCUCUUUUGAAAGAGCUUCAGGCACCAUGUCUUCAUCCAUGUAUAACUUGGCAUCUCCAAAAUAUGAUUCGGCUUCGGUGAAUGGCUUGGUGUCGUCUUGGAUCACCUUCACUCCUUCUCGGUAAAAUUUUAAGCAUUGGUGAAGGGUGGACAAUACUACUCCCUUCACGUGGAUCCAAGGCCUUUCUAAGAGCAAGCUAUAAGAAGUUCUUGCAUCAAUAACGUGGAAUAUCGUGCUUGACUUAAGUUCGCCAAUGGUCAUCUCCACUCGGAUCGUGCCCAUUGCUCUUUGACCUCCUUGAUUAAAACCUUGGAUUAGUAGACGGCUUAGGGAUAGUUCGUCCACCUUGAUGCCGAUUGUGGUCAUUGUUGACUUUGGCAUGAUGUUUAUGGUUGAUCCACCAUCCACAAGCAUGCGGUUGACUUUGUGCUCUCUUAUGUACCCCGAGACGAAGAAAUGACGGUUGUGAGGCUUUGAUCCCAGCAGUAAGUCUUCAUCUGUGAAGUUGAUUGCGUCUUAGGUGGCACAACAUGUGGCACAUUCAUGCGGCCGAAGCUUCAAGCCUUCGUUUAUCUUUUUUUCCUCGAUAGCGAUGGCUUUGCCUUUUAAAGGUUAUUCCAUUUCUACUUCGACCAUGUGACAUGCAGCGGCAGUGCACUGUUGGAAGAAGUCCUCCGGGAAGUACUUGUGCAAAGAGACGGGAAUACAUGGCUCUUGCUCCAUAGGUUCCCCAGCAUACGUUGGCUUAGCAGCUUUUCCGUUUCUUUUGGGCUUCCUACUAUUGCAACAACGGUGCUUUCUCCCUUGUUCCACCUUUGGCCUUGUGGCUUGUGGUUUUGGUUUCCUUGUCUUUUUGUAGGUCACCAAUGUCCAUUCUUUUUCGUCAUCAGUAUGUGCAUCUUGGUCGCUUUCCCCCAGUGAUGGUUGUGCAGAAGAUGUCAUGCAGCUUGAGCAUUUACGGGAAUGGUCAGGUGUCACUUGGAGAGGCACGGGAUCAAAGGAUCCAAACGUAAUUGUAGUAGUAUGUGUUGCGGCCGUGUCUUUAAGAUCGAGCUCGAUUUGCCCUUGUUGUGCUAACUUCAUGAUGAGUUCUUUGAGGAUGAAGCAUUUACCAAAAAAAUGGCUCACGAUACGAUAGUACUUGCAGUACUUAGGAUCGUUUACGGAAUUCAUCUCUUCAGGGCGCUUGCAUUCCGGUAACUUGAUCACCUUCUUUUCCAGUAAGUCAUCUAACAUUGCAUCCAUGUUUGAGUCAGGAAAAGGGUACGUCUUUUGCUCUAACUCCCUCAAGGUGUUUUUGUACUUGUAUUAGGUGCGAAGAGGCUCACCUCUCUUUAUCUCUUUUGCUUUGGUCUUGGAGGAGAUCUUGAUGGGCGCAGGGGAGGUCUUGAUAGGUGCGGUGUUGACAGUAAAAGCUUCCUUGGAGGGUUAUUUUCCAGUCCUAUCUACAUUUGGGAAUAACACUUUAUCCUUCUCGAAGUCGGUGAUCAGCUCAUUCUUCCCAUGAUUGGCGAUACUUAGCUCCAUGUCGUGAGAUCGAGUUGCCAGUUCCUCAAAUGUUCUCGGUUUUAUACCUUGGAGGAUGUAAUGUAACCCCCAGUGCAUGCCUUGAACACACAUCUCAAUGGCAGAUGUUUCAGAAAGCUGAUCUUUGCAAUCCAGACUUAAUGAACACCAUCUAUUGAUGUAGUCGAUGACAUGUUCAUCCUUCCACUGUUUCGUACUGGUCAACUCCAGCAUGCUUACGGUGCGACGAGUGCUGUAUAAGCAGUUAAGGAAUUCCCUUUCUAGCUAAUCCCAACUGUUGAUAGACUCAGGCUCGAGGUCGGUGUACCAGUCAAAGGCGUUGCCUUUCAGCGAGCGCACGAACUGCUUGACGAGGUAGUCUCCCUCCGUUCCAGCAUUGUUGCAAGUUUCAAUGAAAUGGGCAACAUGUUGCUUUGGGUUUCCCUUUCCAUCGAACUGCAUGAACUUUAAUGGCUGAUAACCCAUCGGCAUCUUCAAAGCGUCAAUUUUCUUGAAGUAGGGCUUUGAGUAUAGUACAGAGUCAUGUGAGCUUCCUUUGUACUGCGCAUUGAUGAUGCUGGUAAUCAUCUCUUGCAACUGCUGGAUAGAAAGAGAUCUCAUGAAUGCCGCUGCUUGGUCUGGCUCCGGCUUCACAUCGACUUUCUCCACCAGAGGCUCAUCUUCUUCGCCGGCUCCUCCCUUCUUUGGGGCAGGUUUCUCGUCAUCCUAUGCCUCCAGGCGAUUGACAAGUGCAGUGAUUUGCAAGUCUUUUUCUUCCACGGUCCGUGUUAGUCUUGCGAUCGCUUCAUUCAUUUGAGCCAACUGUUCAUCGAUUGAAGUAGCUCCAGUGGUCAUGACUUGGAUGGCUAAACUGCCGCUUGAGUCAGCAUUGGAAAACAUGGAAUCAGAGUACUUCCUUGGGCUUUCAUCCCUUAGCGCCCUUAGUGAGGCCAGGGUGAUCACAGGUUCGUGCCUCGGGUGCUCUUGUUCCUUUGGCAGAGUUGAUGCAGAGGUGGAAGAAGCGGUAGAAAAAGCUCUUGCCUUGCUUCGAGUUAUGAUGCCCGAAAUGACACCACUUGCGGCGAUGACGCUCUUGUUUUUCGUGUUGGUUGCGGGAACCAUUUGAAACUUCCUUGAUGCCAUUUGAUUUUCGAAUGUGUGCUUUGAUUUCCUUGAACGGAGAAAGAGAUGAGAGGUAGAGAUUGUCCCAAUGGGCGUGCCAAAUUUGUAAACACGGAAAUUCCUGAAACAAAUGAGACCAUGGAAGAACAGUUGGAUGUGUGGAUUUGUUGAUGUUGUUGAUCCAAAAUGCCGUUAGGACUUGAUCUUAUGCAAACACGAAAAUUCCUGAAACAAAUGAGACAAGAACAUGUGUACAAAAUAAUAUUUUUUAUUAAUGAUUUUGGGGUUACAAUCUCUCUCAAAUUUGAUCCUCUGAUUCGAUCUCCGUGAGGUGUUGAUUUGUGGAUGUGCAAUUAAUCCAAGGUUCGUCGAGGCUUGAUCUUGGAUGAACGGUUGGAAAUUUCUUCAAAGGGCUUUGGGCUUGAUCUUAAAGGUUGAUGGAUGAACAGAUCUUCAAGGCUUUUGGGCUUGAUCUUGAAGAACUGUUGAUGAACGGAUCUUCAAGGGUUUUUUGGCUUGAUCUUGAAUGAACGGUUGAUGAAUGGAUCUUCAAGGGCUUUUGGGCUUGAUCUUGAAGAACGGUUGGAUGUGUGGAUUUGUUGAUGUUGUUGAUCCAAAGUGAUCUUAGGAUGAACGGAUGAUGAACAAUGAACACUUUCCUCAAGGGCCGUCGGGGCUUGAUCUUGAAUUGGUGAAAGUUCUUCAAGGAUCGUCAGGGCUUGAUCUUGAAGGAGGAUUUGACGAAGAACGAAGAGAACUUUCUUGAUCUUUCGGGAUUUACUUGAGAGCUUUAGAGUUUCAAAGCUUCAAAGGUUUUGGUGUGAUGUGAAUUCAUUAUGAAUUAGUGUCCUAAAACGAAUAAAAUGACCUUGUAUUUAUAGAAUUUUUCAAGGCCUAAUUUGAAUAUAAUAUUCAGAUGAAGUAAAUCGUUUCUGCCAAGUGUUGACACAUGUCCUUAUUUGAUGACUUUUCUUAUUUAUUUUGAUUUUCCGUUUAGUCACACGCUACAUGUAAAAUUUAUGUGACCCAUGAACGUUGAAAUUGUAAUUGUUGGUCAACAUUUAUUUUACUGAAAUUUCGAUGUCUACAUAUACCAUAUAAGUAAAUUAGUGAAUCAACAAAUUCUAAAUGGGUACAUUAAUGAUAUAUAAAUGUACAACAUUUUGAAACUCAUUGAAGGUGCAAAACAAGGAGUAAAUCAUCGAUAUUGACAUGAUUGGAGAAUCCUUGCAAUUUUGUAAAAUGAUUGCAGUAAUGGGUCAACUAUUUCUCUCACUUGCAACUCAUUAAAUUUAUGGUUUUAUUUAGAGGUUAAGAAGUGUGCGGGUAUACUGAACUCCCGAAAAAUAAAAUUAACAAACUGGUGAGUUUAUGUUUAUGAAAUAAGAGUUACAAGUCUAUAAACAACCUUUAAACCAGAAGUUCCCCCGCCAUGGUUGUCGUACUGAACCGCGUGCAUGGUCUCAUUGGCCAUAGUCUCUCAGUUUUAAGUCCAACCAACGUUCCGAAGAGCCGCAGAAACUUGAAGCUGAGGAUUCUAUCAAAUACAGAGCUUAUGAUAGUACAGCACUAGACUCAUUAGCCCAUGUCUAUAGUGGAACAAAUAAUACGCGUGAUUCAUAAUGAUGUGGACUGAUUGACCCUUGUCUGUCUAUUGUGGAACAAACUGAUACGCGUGAUUCAUAAUGAUGUAGACACUACACUGAGUAUAUGGUCCCCAUGUUAAAUGUAGAGUACGUAAUGUGGUCCAUAUGUUAAAUAGACGAUACAAUAAGUCCCCAUGUUAAAUGUACAGUACGUAUGUGGUCUAUAUGUUAAUUAUACAAUAAGUGUAUGCAGUGGUGAAGCUAGAAUUUGCCGAGAAGAGAGGUGAAAUUCAAAAGAGUGCAAGAUUCAAUCGAAGUGGUUGUUUUUAUAUUUGAGAGUGCAAAGUUUUGAGUCAAUAUUCAUAGCAGAAAAUAGUCUCCACCAAAACGAUUGUAAGCGGUAAUAUCAAAGCCAAUAUAAUAAACUUAUAUUAGCUAGGUUUAUAUUCUUAAAAAAGACGCUAGUCAAGUAGUAGACUGGAACCUAGUAGCUAGGCGUCUAAGAGAGAUCUAGGCAGGAGCCUAGUGGGAUUUAAAUGAAUUUCUUUUAUCGUAAAAUAAGCAUUAAACAAUAUUUACAUUACUUUUUAAAAAGUAAUACAACAUUUAUAUAUAAUGUGAGAGUUUAAGAUAAAUCCAGUAGGGGUCUUAAAAGAAAUGAAAAAAUAAAAUAAACAAUACUUGAGUACCCACAAUUUAGUACCAACUAGCAAGACUGCCCGCGCGAUGCUGCGGUGCUACGCCUUGCUCCUGUACAACCUUAUCUACAAAAGGAACAAUGAGCAGCAUUGAAUUUAAUUCCAUCAUCAAUGCCUUGAACUUGUAGGAUCAAAAUUAAUAUAUAUAUUAACAUAGACCCUAAAAUUUCUAUCAUGGAGAAAAAUAUUAACAUUGGGAAAAGGCAAAGAGAGGAAUUCUCAAAAGAAAACUGAGAGUAUGGAUCAUAUUGAAUGGAAAUCACAAACAGCAACCAAAUCAAAAAUGAAGAAUAACAAUUGAAAAGGAAAAUAAUAAUCGAACCAUAACUGAAAAAGCUAUCUGGUUUUGAAUAUUACAAUUAUGAAGCAACUCUUAUAGGAUGAGUGAGUAGAAUUUACAACGUAGUUAGGAGUUGCAAUGCAGUUAGGAGUGUUCCAUCUCGCUAUCAAUUUGCUAAACCAAGAUCAUCUAUACCAAAUGACAACUUUUUACAAUGCAAUGAUGAGAACCACGAAGACCAAUGUUUGGAAUUCACUGAAAAUAUUCCGUUGAAAAGAUUGUAACUUGUGAAGUGCAUAACGAAAAGGAAAAGACAGAGGCUGGUCUCAACAUGUAGAGAGUUGAAAGGAAUUGUGAACUUAAUGAAUUACAAAAUGUAAAAAAAUUGCAUUGCUGAAAAAGAAAUUAAUCCGCAGGAGAAAUUGAGUUAAAAUUUUGGUUGCAUAUUGAAGAGUCAGUUUUGGAACAGAUGAGAAGGAGUGGGAUGUAAUCAAUGGAAACCUCAGUCACUAAGUGUAAGAAAAAUGAAGACAAAGAAUUGCAAAGGAAAAGAACUUCGAAUCCACAUGGAAACGGAAAUUAAUAAGUGGAAAAGCAAUUAAAAGUCGAGGUUAAUCAAUUCCGUACCUUGACAGCAGCGAUCACACGUACUUCUUUCGUAUCAAUCUCAACUUCACUGUAGGAAACCAAAACAGAUUCGGUCUGUAAACAUUUUGGAGGAAAGAUUGGAUAUAGAGAGAUGAAAAUACUGUUCACAAUGAAUAAAAAUUAGUGUAAAUUUGUUUGCAUAUAGUAACUCAAUGAAAGCGAUGGAGGACAUAUUGGGGAUUUGAUAAUGACAUGUUGAGAAAGUUAAUAGCAUUGAUGAAUACAAAAUUUAAACCGUUACUGGUUGAGGCUGAAACAUAAAGGACUAAAGCAAAUUUUGAUCCUAAAUUUGAAUUUUAAAGUUGAAAAAAAAUGAUGGAGAUAUGUUGGAUAUGAUUAUAGACCAGAACGAAGCUACUUUUAUGGUUAUUUACUGUCCAAUAUGAUACUUAUGGUAUAGUUAAAGGUUCUAUAUGUUUCAGUAGUAAUUAACUCUGAUCCUUAUGCAUUCACUUGAGAAAAAUUAGCAUUUAAUGUCUCCAAAGGGAUCCCAAGUACUUAAGACAAAGUUGUUAAAAAAAGUUAAUGAGAAUGCAGAUUGGAAGCCAAAAGUAAAAAUCAAAUGAUUACAGAAUGGAAAUAAAAAUGUUGGAGUUAACAGUAAACAAUUUAAAGAUUAAACCGGUUGAGUAUACAUUGGGUAAUCAAACAUAUGGAAUAAAAGAUUAGAAAGUGAGGAUUAUGGGUUGGAUAAAAGUCAAAUAGAAAUGGAUGAAAAGCCAAAAAAUAGGAAGAAGAAGGCAGGGAGUAAGAAAACUAACAGAAUAUGGAUAUUGCACAAUGGUUAAUAUAUUAAAAACUAAAUGUUUCAAUAGAUUAUAUACCUUGAACAAAAGACGAAAUUGAAGCAUUGGCAGUUCCUAAAAGCGAAGAAGAAUGAGAUGAGACAGUGACAUCUAGCAUCUGAUUGUGGAGACAAAAUCUGCAGUCAUAAAAAGAAAAUUUAAACAUAAACUUUACCUAUAUAUCAAACACUCAAAUAAGAAAAAGAAUAAAUAAAGAAAUGGGCCAUAUGGAGAAAAAAGGUUUACCAGAACUUGGUUGUAUGCCAAUUGAAAAACAUUGUAGGUCUCAACUCAAAGUAUACUGACCACCAUGUCCAGAAGAUGUAAAAAUAACAUCACAAAAUGUAAACACCAUUGAAAACACACAGGUUGCAAUAGGCUUACAAAUGAAAUCUUUAAUUUGUACGAUAUAGAUAAAAAAAGGUUACCAGUUGGUUGUUUACAUACACAAAAAAUAUUCCAGGCAUAUGCUGGAUCUUAGUACCUGGAACUGCUUUUCAACCACAGCCAGCAUUGGGAUACAAAACACUGGCAAAUGCUGGUUUAUGUACAGGCAAAAAAUGUUUUGAAGUUCAGAUCAGAAACAUAUUUACAUGACAGGGAAAUAGCAUAAAUAUUGUUUUAUACAUGUUAACAAAAAACCAUCAUGAUUUUUUAUCAAUGGAGGUCAACUUAUGUUGCUGCAUUGUUCCCUUUCAAGAAACCAACCUAGGGAAAAAAAAAAGAAAUUAAGAGAGUUAGACGGCUGUUAAAUCCAAGUUGUAAAAAAAAUUUAGCAAAAAAAAAAAAAGCAAAGGUAAAAUAUAACAACCUAGCUUUUUUUUGGAGGGGUAGCAUCUAAUUUUCCAGCAGUUGAGGAUGGGUUCUUUUUUAGCAAUUUGAUCAGGACUUCAUCCAACUCUCUUGGAUCCGUGUCUGAAAUUUCCUCUACUCCACUGUUUUAAAUGAGGUAUCAAUGUUAAACAACAUGACUACACACAAAUUUGAAAUUUAUAGUUACAAAGGUAUGGGACAAACCUUUGUUCACCGCCAGUGAAAAGAGCUUGCCUGAUUGAUUCCCUUUUUCGUUUAAACGACUGCUCAUUGGGUUAAACUGUUGAGGUCGAAGAUGAAGCAAUGGUGGAAGACACUAUGAUUUCUCUUGACAAAGGUUGUGGAGUUGCUGGCUGCAUAACUGUGUCUUCAGUCACGUUAUGAAUGAGGAUAUCAUUUGAAUAAAAAGUAUUCCUCCUGUUGCCAAAUCGCAAGUGAAAAAUUUUCUUCUAUCCAAUAAGCCUGAGAAAUUCGUUUGGCAACUGUUGUUGCUCUACCAGUCUUUGAUUUAAUACCAGGUCUUUGCAAGGCAUGCCAAAAAGCUUUUCACCACAUUUACCGAUUAUCAAAGCAUUCAUUUCAUUUGUUUCAUCUUCAAGAAUGAGAUUGACUUUGUACCUACAUUUAGAAACUCAAACCAAUGAGAUUUUUGAGAAUCAGAGGUUUUCACAAACAUAAGAGGUAAAAAAGCUGAAACAAAAUAGAUUGCAAAUGUGGAGUAAUAUUAUAUAAUCAUAUGGUGAUCAUGUGUGACCAAAUAUGAGAAAACAUAAAAAAGAAAAGGAAACAAAGAUAAAUUAUUUGUCAGAAUAGAAAAAAAAUAAUAACAUUUAGGUUUAUACAACUGAAGUUGAACAAAAACAUAAAGUAAAGAGUGAACAAUGGUAACAAAUUUUUUUUUAAGGAACACCAUGUUUGGCAACCAUUGUGUAUAUCUAUUAUAAAAAUGCUUUCAUAAUCUGGAAUUUAAAAAAAAAAUAAGUGUGAUGACAUAAAUAAUUAUACCAAAAUUGUAAAUUUUGCACACAAUGUGAAUAACCCUAUCUAUAUUUAUUUUUCUCAAUUGGUUAAUGAGAACAAACAACAGGGUAUCAAGAAAGAGUAAACUUUUUGUUAGCCUUGCUUCAAAUAUUUGAUUUAACAUUACCACAGCGUUGGUAUUUGGUUUGGAUGUUUUUGACAAAUGAGCUGCCCAAUGGUUGGAUCCUUGUGCACCUGUUUCAAGCAGUUCGGGCAAGCACUGUACCACUAGUUGAACCGCAUGUCAAAACGCUUGACAGAUGCUCUACACACAAAUGUAUCAUCCUGUGAUAUAUUUUGUCACAUAGCCGUAACAGCAAGAACAACAGAACUCAGUUUCAUUAAAAAGGUUAAAAUGCAAUGGUAAGAUUUUAAGAAUACACAAAAAAUAAACGUUAUGUUUUAUACCUUAUGCAAAUCUGGAUCCAAAAAAGCCAAUUCAUCAAUUGUAGCUUUUUUAGCAGUCUGCAAAAUUUGAGCUUCGUUUCGUUGGAUUGCAGAGGGAGAAAGUAUGUCCAGAGCUUCUUUACAAUCACAAAACCUGCAGGAUUCAAAACACUUUAUCAGUUUAACAAUUAUAAAAAAAAAAAUGAUAACAAUUGUUUUCCAAUUAAAAAAAGUGUUAUUUUGUUUUAAAAACGAAAAAUUUACUCACACUGACUUAUACGUAUUCACUUCGGGGAUGUCUAGGUCAAUAAAAAACACAGACGAACCAGUACUACUCAAAUAAAUUUUUUUUGUGCGUUGCAACCACACCACAGAGAAAAAGAUUAAUGAACAAUAUUAAUGACAUUAACAAAGUUAAAAAAACAAAAGGGAAUACAAAAGAGACGAAACAAACAGAAAUAAAGUAAGAAAACGACUAAUAACAGUGACCAACCAGUGAUAGAUUGAGACAUUUGUAAAUUAACUGGCCAAGAAGGAAAGAAACAUAUAAUCAGAAAUUGGACGAAAGAAAGAUAACAAAAGUUUAGGACAACAAAACAUCCAAAUAAUGUAAAGAAACAACAUGUGUACACAUCACAAUAAACAGACUAAAAGUAAGUAUUUAACAAAAUGGAAUACCGAGGUAGAUCUUGACUUUCAGACUUGUGAAAACAACAAUGACUGACAAAGAAAAUUCCUCUGCUGACAAAGAAGAAAAAGCUUCAGCAACGUCUGCCCACAACAUAACCAUUAGUUCCUCUUUUCUGUCGAUAAAGAAACGACAAAUAAAUUUUUGACCUUUUUAUACCACCAAAGCAACAAAUAUUGAAAACAGUAUGUAAGAAUAGGGAUAAGAAGUGAAAAAUAACCUAAUAUUUUGGAUAACCACAUCACACUUGUACAUAACCCUUUGAUUAAUUUGUUUAGGUUCCAGCCGCUGCACAACGCUUAUAUGACCAAUGACAUCUUACCAUUUGAAAAAACAAACAGAUGCACAUUAUUAAAAUCCAUUUUAGGAAGUAAACACACACUUUAAGACACGCACAUGCACAUAGACAUUAAUAGUACCUGUGAGGAUGUCAACUCUGUUUAAGCGAGGGUAGAGUGUGUUAUAGUCUUGUAGGAAAAAUCGAUGGCGAGGGAUGGGCGGAAACACACUUGCUAAUUUUCGGAAAGCUGUUUUCGAGGUGAACAAAACCUGAGUUUCAUGCAGCACCACCUUGUAUUGUGCCCUAAUUCUAAUAGUUUGAAAUUCGGUGAUUUCAUAGCAUGCACCAUCUUCAAUUUUUUAAGCCAUGACAUCAUAAUCAACAUCCAAUGUAGAGGCCUCAACCGCAUGUUGCUUCACAUCGUAUUAAAAAAGAGGAAAAAAAGCCAAAAAAUCAAUUAACAAAUAAAUGAAAACACAAAUCAUACACUCGACAACACAAACAACAUGACAUGAAUCAAAUUGUUACCAUGAGCAAAUAGAACGAAUGAACGCAGUUAAAUUAUUUCAAACAAAAUGUAAAAAAAAAAAAUCCAUCAACACAUAAAAGUUUACAACAGAACAUACCGCAUGGCAAAUAUAAGGAAAGAAAGCCAAAAAUUGAGGGAACAAACAGAGGGAAAACACAGGUGAUGCACACAUUUCGCUGAUGACAACAUAUCGAACUCUAACCUUCUAACAUGUAAAAAAGCAUGGCAACAUAAACAUUAUCCAGUGAGUUAAUAUAAACAUUAUCCAGUGAGUUAAUACUCAUUGACUCCAACUUUGGGUAAAAUAAUUAGACAAUUAUUUCUCACCGCUUCAUCAACCAAUAUGCAGUGCAGGUUUGUAGACUUUUGAACGGUUCCUGGAAUCGUCAAUUUCCAAAUCCUGCAUAUGCGAAUUUUGAUUUUGUCCGCCUUUAUGUAUGGUAUUAACUGAUUAACAGGAGUUGGGCGCACAGUUUCCAUUUAUCCUAUCAAAAGGGAAUUUCAAUGACACAUCAGAAACUCCCACAAAACUACAAAAAGAAAAAAAGACAAAAACUAUAAACGAUCCACAAUUCAUUCACCCAUGGUCUGAAAGGAAGACAUGGAGAGUUUAACAACCAUUUGUACUUUCGCUAUCUUUUCCACCCUGUCUUGCAUGCCUAUACAACAAUUGCACAAAUUUUAUAUUGUCCAAUAAAACUAAGGACGCAAAACAGAGACCCAGACUGCAAAUCCCGUGAAUGACACCUCCAAAGAACAAAUAAUAUUGACGAAAAGAACGGGAUACCCAAGUUUUAACACCAAGAAACAAACACCUCAGCCACCACCACUAAUAGCAACAACUACAACAAAGAAAUCACAAAGUUAAUGACCACACGAAAAAGAAAUGACAACAACAAAAUAGCCGACACUAAGACCGCACAAAAACUCAAGUACAGAAACACCAAGCCUAACACAUUCAUGAACCACCACGAAUCCAGUCACAUAACACAAAACAAACCUCCAUCUAAAAAAAGAUACAAAUUUAUGUCAUCCUCUGCAAAUCAAGGCUGAACCCAAAGGCUUCAAAGAAACAAAUCCCACGAUGAAAGAUUUAGUGUCACACUAAAACAACCACAUCCCCAAACCAACUACCUCAUAAUAUAAUUUUUUGCUUUCGUUCUCCACCAACGAAAUGAAAAAUCAUUCUAUCCUCUUUCAUUUCACCAUGAAUCACAUGUACAAAUCCAACCUCUUUCAUUUGACCACAAAUCUAUAUAAUGGCAAUCCUCAGCUUUCGUGUUUUGGAUUGAAGAAAAAAUGGUAAACAUGGAAAAAGUUACAGCACUAAUGUUGCACACAUCUCCUGAACAUCUAAGAAAUGGCAAUCGGCUAUUUUCGCUAAUCGUAGAAUAAGUAUACCAUUUUUUAUACACCUUACUGAAGGAUAAACUGAAUUCUGACUGAGUCAAUGAGUAAGAUUAUACGAAUAAAGAGUUACAUUCUAUAAUGUACUAAAUAUUCCUACUAUACCUUCAUCCUGCGAGAUUAAGAAUACUUGAGAACGAUGAGUUGAAAUCAAUACGCCAAUUAUUGCUUUACACCAAGACUAAAGUGUGAAUGCAAUUUUGUACUUCGCAAAAUGAACUCUAUCCACUGCAAAUCCAUAACUAAGACUAAAUUGUCAGUGCAAUUAAUAGUGUGACUAAUCAUCAAUCAAUGGCAUCACCCUCAUACGAAGAAAGGGAGACUCUAAAAAACAACACACCCAUAACAAUUUGCUUAAAUAACUAACGGAUCAAAACAAUGAGAUGGCCAAAAGGAAAACCCACCAAACAGCAAAACGCAAACUCUCUACCUCCACCACUCAUGCCUAACCACACUUCUUAUACCCCCUCUCUCUUUUCCCAACCUCUGCUUCAGCAAAUCACAUAACCAGACAUCUUUCUACACAGGCGUCGACUGCUGCAGCAUUCUAAAACCCUAAAAUCUAUUUGAACGCAUGAUUCAAAAGGACAACAUCACCAAAAUUAAACGAUAAACCCAAAAAACGAACGAAGCCCAUACAUAUUUAAACGCAACAGAAGAAAACUCAUUUUCCAAACUAACAUAAAAAUAUGAAAACGAACAUAAAAAUCUAAAAAAAAAUCACGCACCGCAGGGUUCUCCGACGUAGCAAAGAGGCACAGAGCAGAGGAGAGGACGAUCGAGAAGAAGCAAACACAAACGCGCGCGAAACCAAAGCAAACAGGCAAGAAGAAAGCAAAAGAGAAGGCGGGAGCGAAAGACAGCGACGCAACAAAAAAAAUAAGAAACGGGAAACAAAAACGAAACAAAAUAGAGCAAAAAGAGCAUAACAGGAUGAUCAACACGUGGCAGAUCCAAUCCCCACCUUCUCCCUGCAUCAAUCCCUCGAAAACAAUGAGAACCCAUUAUAAACCCAAAGGGCAAUUCGGGCAGUCAAAAAACACCCACCAACCAUGGACGAUGAUCAACACGUAGCAGAUGCAAUUCCCACUUUCUCCCUGCACCAACCCUCGAAGAGAACCCAUUAAAACCCCGAAGGGCAAUUCGGCCAGUCGAAAAACACCCACCAAUCAUGGGCAAAGCCGACAUUUCAAUGGAGAAAAGAGGGAGAACAACGUCAAAACACAAACCAAGCAAGGGGCAUUUCCGUCCCGGCACUAUUAAUGAACAGUGCCAUCCGAAACCCAGUUUUAGUAUAUAUACUUUUACUCACUAGAGUUUGUGGCCCAAUAAAAUUACGACAGCUGUCAUUCUCAACUCUCUAACCAAAUAACAACAAAUCUAUUAUUCUAGCAGCCAAACACUUUAGGGGUGAGUUUACAAAUCCAUAAUCAGAUUGAAGGAAAUUGAAUUGAGGAGAAAUCAAAUUAAGGAGGAAUUGGAUUGAGAAUGAAACAAAAUUAGAUUCUGGUCAAAGUUGUUUACUAAACUAAUUGUAAUCGGAAUACAAAUGAUAUUAGUUCCAUAUAUAUUGUUUACUAGUUCACUAAAAUCGGAAUUAAAACUAACUUGAUUACUAAAUUGUCCUUGUUUAAAUAAAUUAUGUUUAUGCUAUAAUUAUUGAAAAUUAAGUUUAUCUAAUUAAAUAUAGGCUUAUUAUGUUAACACCCCACAUUUUGUUGAAUAAACUUCACAUACUUAAUGCUCCUCACAUUUGUUUUUUUAAUUAAAACUUAUCUUAAUAAACCCCACAUACUUCCCAUAACACCCUCACACCCCACAUUCUCAACAUACACCUUACAUUUUCUACAUACACCUCCACAUUCUUCAAAUCUUAUAAUUAUCAUUCUUGCUUCUAUGGUUUUCAUUAUUCUCCAUGGAAAUCUUGAUCUUUCGUUUCCUUCUUUUGGUGUUUGUCCAACAGACAGUUCUGCUACUUCGACUUUCUCUUUGCUUCCAUUUAACAUGUUGAACUACCUCCUUUCGAUGACUCUUGUUAACGUAGGGGACUGUGCUGGCAUCUUGGUUGGGAGUGAUGGUAUUCACUCGCAAAGUGGAAAAAAAUGAAAUAAAACAGGCUUCGGGGGUUUGGACGCCUCAACGAAGGUUAAUGGCUUUACCUGUUCAAAUACUGGCUAAUCAGCAUUGAGAGUAUUACAGUAUGAGGACAGAAAAAAAACAUGGAUUGAGAUAAUUAGGAAAUAUAUAACAACAUGUGAUUCAAAAUAAAAAUAUGUCCCAGCGUUGUAAAUGGAUCGAGAAGCAUGAUUAGUUGGGACAAGGUCCUAUUAUCAUUUAGGUUUAUAUUAGACUUGCCAUGGGGAAAAUGAAUCAAUGUUACCCUUCAUUUCCAAAACUGUGAUGCUUUUGACAGCAUAUGCAAGCAUACCAAAACAUGUUUAUCAAUCACUGGUUACCUUUUAUUUUAAACUAAUACUAGAAGAAUCCUUGAUAGAUUAGAGACUAAUGUAUAUACUUGUAUUGAGAACAAAAUAAUAGUAAAUUGAAAAAUAAAAUUAAAAGAAUACAUAAAUUACAAGUAUUCAACAAGUUUAGAGUUUAAAAACACAUUAAUAUAAACAUAUAUUAUUUUGGGCCCAAAAAACAUGGCAUAUUAUAAUCAUAAAAGGCCUAGCCCCACCAAAAUAUUUACUUUUGCAUUCAUUUCACCUCUUACCUUCGUCAGUCGUUUAUGCAAAAUCCGAAGAACCAUAAAUGGUCAAAUGCAUCAAGAACCCAAAGAAAGCCAAAAGAAAGGCCAAGGUUGGCUCCAAAUUCCACUACCUUCUUCGUUGUUUGUUUAAUUAUUUUAAUAAAGUUAGGGUUGUGUCUUAAAUUUUUGUUUAAGGCUCAAAGAAAAUAGGUGGAUCUCCUUCCUCUUCGAGACCAUCGAUGCUGAUGAAGGUAUGGCAACCGCCUAGUGGGCCGCCUAGCACCGCCUAGACCGCCUAGCGGCUGCCUAGGCGCCCGCCUAAGCCAUCACCGAAUUUCUCUAACAUUUCGCUCCAAAUCGCCUCGAAAGCCCAACGCCUAGUGCGUAGGCAGCCGCUUAGGCCGCGUUUUUGAACACUGGUUAGAAUGCAACUUAAUUAAAAUAGAUCAAAGUAUGGCUUUGGUAGGUGAGAAGCCACCAACAUCCAUAUUUAAUAUAGGGACCAUACUUAUUGUAGGGCCUACAUCAUAUAACCACCACAGGGUGGCUCAGUGGUUGGGUACGAAUUCCAGGCUCGUAUUCUGCACGGUACGUCUUGAGUUCGAUUUCUAGCGCUGGUGAAUCAUACGAUGGUGGUAAAAGGGAGACUAAAAUUCCUCUAUGAGUUUUCCUGGCUCCCAAAAAGGUGGACUACCAUGACGAAGCCAACUAGUCCCUUUGUCGAUCUUGUAUUUCCACAAACUAAUUCAUGUUAUUUGUAUUUUUUUUAUCUUGUAUUUCCACAAACUAAUACACUACUACGAAACCAUUUACUAGUGUCGCUAUGAUAACCGACAAGAAACGUAUAUUACUGUCAUAUAUUAAGCAAAAUCCGACAAAAAAUGGAUGCAGUGGCGGUUAUAAUAAGUGACAAAAUUGCUAGGGUUAGGAAAUGAAUUUUCUAACAGAAAAUACUCUAAAACAGACAGAAAUUGUGUCGAAUAUAACCGACAGAGAAUACAUUAAUACUGAAUAAAUAAGAGCAUUCUCUGUCGGAUAAAACCGAUAGAAAAUAUAUUAAUAAAAAGAAAUAUAAACCACUUUCUGAAUCAUUUCUUUCCCUUUCAAGUUGGCCUUCCCUGCAUUCACUGCAUUUUCCAGCUUUGAGAUGUGCAACGUUCCUCUAAGGUACACCAUAUUCUUCAAUUCUUCAAGUUUGUUUCCUAUUUCGCAGCUAACCUAAAUAUAUAUAUAGACAGAAGUUUGACCCCCAACAACAAGAAAAGGAUUAGAAAGACAGAUAAAUAUAUUUGAAAAAGAAAAGAAAAGACAAACCGAAAAUUUGGGCAAGUUAUGCAACCGCCUACACUACUCCCGGGGGUUACAGUUCAGGCGGUUCUCAUGUUCUCCGACACUCUCCUUUCUUCACCACCUUUAUCAUCAUCAACCUUGUCUCGUUGAUCAGCUCAUUGUCUUUUCUCGUCACAUUUCUCUCGAUCUUGACAUCUCAGUUUGAGUACAAAAACUUCCAUCAAUCUCUUCCGCUCAGGCUACAUUUAGGAUUUGCCUUUCUUUUCUUCUCGCUAGGGACGACCAUGCUCUCGUUCACUGCUACAGUUGUGCUCUUGAUUCAUCUCGAUGAGGAAUUGACAACGUCUCUCCUUUAUGUUGUUGCAUUUUUUCCUAUGUAUGUAUUUGGGUUCAUACAGCAACUUCCUUUGUAUGCUAGAUUUUCUCAUGCUUUGAUAUUUCUAUUUAAGAAAGUUAAGAAGUUUAUAAUUUCUAUUUAAAACACAAACUAAACAUAAUACAAAUAAUUUAAAACGUACUGGUUUCAAAAUGUUGCUUCUCGAAUUGUUCAUCCAUGGUGAUUGAAGCGAGAAGGAGAAGGGGAGAAGAGAAGGAGAAUGAAAUUAGGAGAGGAGAAAAGGGAGAAGGAAGGGGGAAGGGAGAAGGCACCGGUGCAAGGAAGAGAUGGAGGGGUUUUAUUUUGGAAAAUUUUCAUUACUGUCAGUUAUAACCGAUAGAAAAAAAUGGCGGCAAAAAUCCCCCCUAAAUUCCCUCCCAAAAUUUUAAAUUCCCCCCCAAAAUUUUGUUACGAUUUAAAAAAAUAAAAUAAAUUGAACGGAGAUAUGCAUUUUAUGAAACUAGUUUCCAUAAUCUAACCGUCAAACUUGUUUGUAGAUACUACUACAAGAUCGUAUACGUAAAAAAUCGCAAAAAAAAAAAAAAAAAAUCAGAGAUUAGGUAACAUAACAAAAGUUUUUUUACGGUUAUAAACGAAAAAUCUCAAUUUAACGGUUAUUUUAGCUUCGGUUUUGAUGAUUUUUUUACAGCUACACUCCUCGAUCCUAUAAGAAUGCAAUGAACGAAUUUGAUCUUCAAUUUAAAAUAUUUACACUAAUGGAUAUCACAAAAUCUUAUUUUAUACUUAAUGGAAGUAUAAUAUUAACUCUAAGUGUUUGUUUAAUCUACCGUUUUGACGCGAUAUGCAUUCUACGAAACUUUUUUCAACGAUCCAAUCGUCAAACUUAUUUGUACACACUUCGAGAUAGCAUACGUAAAAAAUCAUAAAAAAUAAACAUUCAAAGAUUAUGUAACGGAACAAAAGUUUUCGACGGUUCUAAACAAAAAAUCACAAUUUAACGGUUAUUUUAGUUCUGAUUUUAAUGAUUUUUUACAGCUACACUCCUCGACCCUAUAAGAAUGUAAUGAAUAAAUUUAAUCUUCAUUUUAAAAUAUUUAUACUAGUGGAUACCACAAAAUCUUAUUUUAUACUUAAUGGAAGUAUAACAUUAACUAUUUAAGUGUUUAUUUAAUCUACCAUUUUGACGUGAUACACAUUCUACAAAACUUUUUUCAAUGAUCUAACCAUCAAACUUGUUUGUACACACUCCGAGAUCGCAUACGUAAAAAAUCACUAAUAACAAACAUUCAGAUAUUAGAUAACAGAACAAAAGUUUUCGACAGUUAUAAACGAAAAAUCACAAUUUAACUGUUAUUUUAGCUCCAAUUUUGAUGAUUUUGACAGAUACACUCCUUGACCCUAUAAGAAUGUAUUGAACGAAUUCGAUCUUCAAUUUAAAAUAUUUACACUAGUGGAUACCACAAAUCUUAUUUUAAACUUGAUGGGGAAGUAUAACAUUAAUUCUAAGUGUUUGUUUAAUCUACCAUUUUGAUGCGAUACGCAUUCUACGAAACGUUUUUCAAUGAUCCAACCAUCAAAAUUGUUUGUACACAUUCCGAGAUCGCAUACGUAAAAAAUCGCAAAAAACAAAGAUUCAGAGAUUAGGUAAUGGAACAAAAGUUUUCGAUGGUUAUAAACGAAAAAUCACAAUUUAACGGUUAUUUUAGCUCCGAUUUUGAUGAUUUUUUACUGCUACACUCCUCGACCCCUAUAAGAAUGCAAUGAAUGAAUUUGAUCUUCAAUUUAAAAUAUUUACUCUAGUGGAUAAAUCUUAUUUUAUACCUAAUGGAAGUAUAACUUUAACUCUUAAGUGUUUGUUAAAUCUAUCAAUUUGAUAGGAUAUGCAUUCUACGAAACUAGUUUCAACAAUCCAACCGUCAAAUACGUUUGUAUAUACUUUUAGAUAGCAUGUGUAAAAAAUCGCAAAAAAAUAAAAUAUAAAAACAUUCAAAGAUUAGGUAAUGGGACCCUGAGUGAAAAAAAAAAAAAAAAACAUUCAGAGAUUAUUCUGGCAGCUGCCCAAAAUUUUGCUUUGUUCGUGUCGGUUAUAUCCGACAGGGCCAUGAGUGAAAAAAAAAUAUUUAAACCAUGUGUUUAUUUAUUUAUUUAUUAUUUUUAAUCAAUAUAAAAUUUUAAAAUAAUAAAAUAGUCAAUUUCUGUAGGUUAUAACAGUCAGAAUACUAAAAUAAUAACCGCUAGAAACUAAAAUAAUAAAAUAGUCAAUUUCUGUCGGUUAUAACCACCACCAUUAACUUAAAAACCGUCGGAAUAUGUUAAAAAUAUUUUAAAAAAAGAAUUCAAAAAUACUGGCAGUUAUAAUAAUUUUAUGGCUAUUGCAUCCGACACUAAAUAUCUGUCAGGAAUUUAUGUUGAAUAUAACCGACAGGAUUUCAUUGUUACCCGACACUAACUGAAUGAUGUGUCGAAUAUCUUUUAUCCGACAUAAUGACUUAUUAAACCACCACCAUCAUCCGACACCUAAAGCUAAUAUUGUAGUAGUGAUACACACGUUAUAUGUUGUCGGUAUUUUGUUGAUCUUGUAUUCUUGUUGAAAUUUCAUCUUCUAGAAAAUUAUGUUGGCCAGUCAUAUUUUUGUGACACUUAACCUAACUUUGUGAUAAAGUUGCAUAUUUCGAGAAACGAAAACUAUAAUGAACAACUAGCAUUUGCCUACACAUUUUGUGUAUAUGAACACGUUUUUUUUUAGAAAAUGAGAAUGAGAGAGAGAGAGAUAGAACGUGGAGGGAGUUGGAGGUUUUUUUUUGUUUUUUUUUAUUUUAAAUAUUGGAGGUAUUUUAACAUUACCUGUAGGUGAGGCUUCAAUAAAAAAAAAAAAAAUUUGAACCUGUGAAAUUACAUUAUUGCUCAUCAUUUUUUUUGUGUGAUAGAAGACUAAGUAGUCUUUUCAUCCUCUUUUGGUUGACAAAAAGGGUUUCAUUAAUUAAUAGAGAUAGGAAUGAAAAAAAUAACAGAAAAAAUAAAAAAUUUAAGGAAAAAUUAAUAUAUGAUUCCUAGUUUUUAAUGUUCAUAUAUUAACUGAGACUUUAUUAGUUUUUAGAUUUUGAUCAAAGUCUCUAGCAUUAAUGUAUUAAUAAAUUACAUGUCAGUUACAUAAUUUUUUUAAAUAAAAAUUAGUAAUUGAUUUAGGGUUUUAAAUAAAAAUUAAUUUUCAAUUCAAAAACUUUCCAAAACAUAAAAAAUAAAAUUAGAAUAAGUUUGUACCCAUUAAUGUUUUAUAAAAAAAAAAAUUCAAAUUUUCAAUCUUAUAUGUAACCAUUUAUAUAAUUCUUCUAUUUCUCUAAUCUUAAAUGUACUUAUUCUUAGAUAUACCAAUUUGUUAUCUAUAAAAUGUACCUUUUUAUAUAUAUAAAAUUCAUUCAAUCUUUUUUCUAAUUCAUUUUUUAAAUUUAUAUGGGUACAUUUUAUUUCGUUGAUUUGAUAAUGAAUUCAUGUCAAAUUUAAUAGAAGAAAUUUAAUAUGUACCCAUGUUUUGGUGCAAUAAUUUUUUUGUUAGUUUUGAUGAACAUACCCAUGUAUGUGUGUACACACACAGACACACACAGACACACACACACACACACACACACACACAAUAUAUAUUCUUUAAUAUUUUUUAUCCCAUAAAUUAUAGGUUUUAUUUAAAAUCUCAUUAAUAUAAAUAACUACAAAUUUCAUUUUUAAUUUAAAAAUAAAAUAACCUAUAUAGAAAUACAUUAUUACAUUAAUGUCAGGGAUUUCGAUAAAAAACUGAAAAUCACAAAAGUUUCAGUAAAAAAAUAUUGAUAAUUAGGGACCGCAUCCAAAGUAUUCCAAAAUUUAAUGACUGAGGCAAUAUCAGAUUCAAAAUUUAAACUUUGGCUUUUUAAUUUAAAAACCUAAAUUUUUAAAAUAGAAAUUUUAGCGUGCGAGCAAAUUUCAGUUGAUUCAUGGAGAUAUUUCAUCGAACACUUAGUGAGUUUGUUGUCGUCAGAUGAACUAUAUUACGAAUAUGUUAACAGAUAUUGACAUUUGCUAAAGCUAUAUAAUGAGUGCUAUUGAUAGCAUUCGUGGGUAGAUUUUGCUUCGUGAUCAUGGCAAAGCUUCAACAAGUUCUGAACUCAAUUGCUUUAUUAUAUUCUAUGCGUUUUCUUCAACAAAGUUAGGCUGAAAGAAUCGUUCACAUAAGAUAUUUGUCUCCUGAACAAGUCUUUCUUCCUUAAUUUUUCAAUAAUGACAAAAAAAAAGAAAAAAAAGCUACGAGAUAAUCAUACUAACUGAACAAGUUGCUCCCAUACAACAGUUAUCAGUGUUGACUCGUCAUGCGCACAAAGCUUUCGAACAACUAUAACAAAAAAGGCCCACAUUUCUCAAACUGUCUCGGAAGUUUGACUACCAUGGCGGAGAGCUUCUGCAUGCGGUUCAAGUACAACCUGCUAUGGAAGUGUUUAAAGAUUGAGAUGAAGUGGUGAUUCGUUAAGUAAAUUUUAUUUUUGUUGCAAACAUUGUUUUAAAAACUCCCAUCUAAGUGCUAUUCGGCUGACCACCACCCCGAUUAAUCCCUAAACAUUUGAAAAUAAAAAAUGGUACCUAAACCUGCCUAAGCGCCUACCUAGAUCGCCUAAGCGCCCUAGCCCACCCAAACCUACCUAGGUCGUGGCUCACUUCGAAAAUAGAUAACUUUCGUUUUGCUUUUUAUUUUUUUCAAUAAAUUGUAAAAGACUAGUCAAAUACUUAGAUUAACACAUAUUAUAUGCUUGUUCUCCAUGUUUUUAUUAUGAUUCAAUACUUUAUAAUAUGUAUGUCAUUAUAUUUUGUAGUUUAUCGUGAAAGUAUAUAUUUUUUAAGUAUAAACGUAGACACUUAUUUAUAUAAUAUAUAAUAAAUUUACUUAAAUCUGUUUUUUAUUAUGAUUCAAUACUUUAUAUAUGUCAUUAUAUUUUGUAGUUUAUCGUGAAAAUAUAUAUUUUUUAAGUAUAAACGUAGAUACUUAUUUAUAUAAUAUAUAAUAAAUUUACUUAAAUCUGUUUAAUCCUCCUAGGCCCUUGCCAAGCCGUCUAGCAUCUGACCCCAGGCCACCGCCUGGCCUAGCGUGUUUUAGAACUUUAGUUGCAAUACAUUGAGGUUCCGAUCCCCGCCCUGAAGAAGAAUGAGGUUUUGCUGAAAUUGGAAGCAGAUAGUCUCAACCAGUUGAUUGGAAAAUCAGAAAGGCGAGCUGCGGCCUCUUUUCCCCGGCAAAUUCCCUCAAAUACCUGGGAAUUCUGUUUCUCAUGUGAUUUGUGAUGUUUUUAUAAUUUUUUAUCUUCAACAUUCGUAAAUAAAACUUAUGCCAGAACACUAAAUAUAAUCUCUCAUUUGUGCUCGAUUCGUACGUGGAACACGUCCAGCGUUGUGGGUUGAUGGAUUAGUAGGAUUCUGUAACAAAAUUAUGUUGAAGGAUGAGUUGUUUUGGGAAUUUAAGCAUUCAAUGUCUUUGAGCUCUAGGCUGCUAUCUGUAGUGCAAAAUCUUUAGUGUAGACGGUUUUUAAUUCUCCUCUCUCUCUCACAUGACAUGACCAGCAACUGAUGUGGCCGGAGAGGUUGUAGAAGUUGGACAAGGUGCCAAAAAGUUCAAAUUCGGUGACAAAGUUGUUGUACUGCUCCGCCAUUUCGUAAGUGCUCGAUCGACUUAUUCCCCUUUUCUCUAUGAGCUACUUGUUUAUGCUUAGGAUUUUCACAUGUAAAAUUCAUGUGUUUGAUAGAGUGGAGGAGGACUGGCUGAGUUUGCUGCAACUAAUGAGAGAUUAAUGGUUGCUAGGCCACCUGAAGUUUCAGCUGCCGAUGGCGCAUGCCUACCGGUUGCCGGUCUCACAGCUCCCCAGGCUCUCGCCCAAUGUGGGGUCAAGCUUGACGGAACUGGUCAAAAUAAAUAACAUAUUGAUCACUGCUGCCUCUGGUGGCGUGGGGCACUAUGCAGUCCAACUAGCAAAGCUUGGGAUACUAACGUUACAGCCACAUGCGGGGCGUGUAACAUCGAAUUGGUCAAGAGCUUAGGGGCAGAUGAGGUUCUUGAAUACAGGACUGCGGAUGGGGCAGCUCUAAAGAGCCCAUCUGGACGAAAAUAUGAUUUUGUAAUCGACUGUGGAAAAGGCAUUCCUUGGUCAACUUUUGAGUCUAAUUUGAAUGCAAAAGGGAAGGUUGUAGACAUUUCUCCGAUGUGAGUUCUUUAGCUACUUUUGUAAUGAAGAAACAGCAGGUGCCACUGCUCAUGAUUCCCAAGGAUGUGAACCUAGAGUAUCUUGUUAAGUUGGUGAAGGAAGGGAAGCUGAAGCCAGUGAUUGACUCGAUGCAUCCUCUGAGCCAGGUUGAAGAUGCUUGGCUUAAGAGUAUCGAUGGCCAUGCUACUGGGAAUAUCAUUUUAAGCUUAGCUGAAGCAUUUAGUUGAACAUUUCCAAACAAAGAUCAUGCCUUUCAAUACCAACAAUUAUACAACUAAUCGCGGUUUGUCUGUCAUAUCAACGCAAACAGAGCAGACAGAAAGUAACUGGAACCCAAAUGAAAAGGACAAGGAUUGUCUGCCCUCCUCGUUCCCGUGCCCUCCUGUUUUGUGUGAUCACGGUAAAACCACGUCAACAUUUUAUAUUGUUUUUUUUAUAGAGAUAAUAAGACAAAAAUGAAUAGUAAUAUAAAAUGUUGACGUGAGUUAACCGUGACCACACAAACAGGAGGGCAUGUGAGGGCAUGGAAACAAAGAGGGCAGACAAUUCUUGUCCAAAUGAAAAACCUCGAAACAUUUUGGUCUCCCAAGUUAAAAUUUUGUUAGGCCACAAUAUAAAGUCUCGUUGCACUUGCAAGAAGCAAGAUCAAAGCCUUUUCCUUUGAUUAUUUCAAUCUUACAAACAACUCUGCAAGUCAAAUUUUUUAAUUUCCUGCCCCCAUAAUCUUGUUCAAAUCUUCGAACGUAAGAAACCAACUUAAAAGCCUAAUUCCCUACAUCAAUUCCAAUCCUAAACAUGAAAAUACAAACUUAAAAACUAUCGAUAUACCCUAAAAAGAACCAAAUUUUAGAAUGUAAUCGUAUCAGUUUAUAGUAUUUUAUUAAAGCACAACAAUCAACUCCACUCAUCUAUCUAACCCUGGUUCCACUGUAACGAGUGCAUUUUCGAUCACCACCCUUGAGAACUCCCGUUGAUUUCUUUUCUUAUGUCUGUACUUUCCUGCUGUUUAUGAUUCAUUGUUAUUACUCUGCGCAAAAUUGUUAAUUUUUUCAAAGUACUCAAAGUAUUAGCAUUAACUUACCAAAAUUUGAAAGUAACUGUUGUGGCCUAUUUAACUGAAGGGGAAUAGGGGGUGAAUAGGGGGUGAGGCAAGAGAGAGUAUGGAGAGAGUGUAAUGAUUUAUUAUGUGAAUGUUACUCCCUCUGCAGUGUCUUUAUUUAUAGUCGAGAAUAAGGAGAGGAUUAACUUGUCCUUCAAGUAAAUACAAUCCUAUAGGAAAAGUAUAACUAGCAACCAAAUGUAUCUAGGAUUUUUCAAUCCAAGAAUAUCUAUGACUUGCGAUUUUAUUUGUAAAACACUGCAAUUCAAAACAAAGCAUGGCCAAAACUAAGGCUCCACAAUUAUCUUUCCGGUAGCAUGGCCAUCGCUGAUCCUAUCCCAAGCGUCCUCCGCCUUGGCCAGGGGAUACUUUGAGUCAAUUAUAGUCUUCAGCUUCGCUUCUUUCACCAACUUAAUAAGAUACUCAAGGUUAUCAGCCUUGGGAAAUAAGAACAGUGGCACCAGUUGCUUCUUAGAAAAGGUAAGUUUCUUCAGUGCAACGCUAAACAGAGAGCUGGGGGUGGGAGUAACAUCUAUUACCUUACCGUUCGCACUCAAAUUAGGCUCAAAAGUUGACCAAGGAAUGCAUGUUGCACAGUGGAUCACAACAUCAUAUUUUCGACCAGAUGGACUCCUAAGAGCUGCACCUUCUGGGGUCUUGUAGUCAAUAACCUCAUCAGCCCCUAGGCUUUUGACCAGUUCAAUGUUGCGGGCACCACAAGUGGCUGUAAUAUGAGUAUUUCCGAGCUUUGCCAACUGAACCGCGUAGAGACCUACACCACCUGAAGCAGCUGUGAUCAGGAUGUUUGCUUGCUGACCACUUCCAUCAAGCUUGAUCCCAGCAGUUUGUGUAAGAGCCUGGUGAGCUGUGAGACCAGCAACGGGUAAUCCUACAGCGGUGGCUGCAGAAACUUCCGGUGGCCUUGCAACAGUUAAACUCUCCAUUGUCACGGCAAAUUCAGCUAGUCCACCUCCAGUCUUUGAUUCAUUGUCGAAGAACAGAAUGAGACAAAAAGGGUCAUGGUAUGUAUCAAUGAAUGAUGCAUCAGAUAUCUAGGUGACACAUUCUGUCACUGGGUUUGCAUAUUAAGCACACCAAAAGUGGUUUUUACAUGCAAUAGUUCAGUCUCAUGCCGACUGGAAUGACACUAGGGAAAGAGGCACACAAAGUCGAUGAAGGGUUAACGAGGGUUUACAAAUACAACAAUUCAGAUUGGAACAAAUGGAUUCAACUUUUCAAAUUAGUAGAUACUUAUUCAGGUAUCAUUGAUGAAAAUAAUAGUUCUAAAUUAAGUUAAAUCCAUCAAUAUGCAUGUUUCCUAGAUGUAUGUGGAGCCUAAAAGAUGCUAUUUCCAAAACAUGAUAUGGAAGCUUAAUUCCCUUUUUCUGAAUUAUGUUAUCCUUUCAGUUAAAUUUUACUUCCGCCGAAAACGAAGACUAAAUUUGAAGAAUUUCAAGUGAAACAGAGAAAAUGAGCUAGUAUAUAAGGGAACUUACAAGAGUGUUAACCUUCCCAACAACUUUGUCACCAGGUUUGAAUUUUUUUACUCCAGGUCCUACCUUUACAACCUCUCCUGCCACAUCAAUACCUGUUCCGAGUUCCACCAAUGAAUAUCUUCAGUUAACAAAACGACUUCUGACAAAAUGCGGUUCUGUGAAAACUUCUACAUAAAACAUGUUAAGAAAUGCAUCCCACCCUUUCCCUUUGAAGAACUCGAAAAACUAUGCUAUAAUAUCAAUGUUUACGUAAGAAUCUCUCCCCAGAAAACACACAAAUUUCACUCCAGAAGUUUAUAGAUGAAAUGAACAAGAAACAGGUGUUUAAGCAUUUAUCGAACAUUCGUACUACUUUUCAAGAAAAAGAUCAAAUAAUACAUGGAAUGAGGCAUAAUUACGUAAAGAGUUAUAAACACAAAAUGGAUCCCCUAAGUAGCAGCGUCUCAAGGCAGCCAAACCAAAUUACCAGGUAUGUACGGAAACCUGCGAGGCAACAAAGGCCAGAGCAUGCCUUUCUGAGCUUUCCAAUCAAUUGCGUUUAGACUAGUUGCCUCCAAUUUCAGCAACACCUCAUCUUUUUUCGGAUUUGGAAUCGGAACUUCAACAUGCUGCAAUAAGGCCAAUGUCAUGACAAGAAUGUGUUCUGCAAAGUUCUUCAAAGCAACAAAGUAUCCACAUAAUAGACCAACAACUUUGUUUAACAUUUCAUAAGCAUAUACAAAUGGUAAUUUUCUCGAUAACAAAACCUAGUAACUGAGUAAAUCCCUGUUACUAUUUCUUUCAUCAUGUGAUUUUGGAUAAAAACAAUAAAAGUAAAAGAUAAAACCUCUUCCUUUAUCAUUUCCUUCCCAUCAUCGCAAUGACUCAAUCAAGUACUCGUAUUCCAAGUGGGAUUUCAGUUAUUAAACUGAAAAUAUGACUUCACCCCUGGAACAUAGAUUUUUCAUCUAAAACCCGACAUAAUUGUUUUACUUGAUUAAAGCCUGGUGAUUAGGAUCCCCAUAAGCAUAUUCCUUAAUUAAGCUUGAAUUCAAAUAUUUUACAUGUUUCCAAUGGCUAUAUUAUCCCUAAUAACAAUUGGAUUUAGACAUUUCUUUUCCUAGUCUAUUUCAAUUUUUUUUUUAACAAACUAUAUAUUUUCUACACUAAAUGAGGGGGGUGAAUUUAACCUCAUAAUGAGCUAGCAAUAAUGAGGUCCAAAUUUGCCUUUGGCGAAAAUUGAAGCCAAGACCUCCCUCUUUCACAAUUGUUCUUGCUUCUUAUUUUUUUGUUUGAAAUUGAUUUAUUAUAUGCAACUAGGUAAAUUUGUGCUUGUAAAUAUAGAUAAAUUAGUGUAAAUAUAGGUAAAUUAGUGUAUUUCUUAUGUGAUGUCAUAAAAUAAUGUAUCUAUUAUUUUCUCACCCUUUAGUUGUAAUACUUCGUUGUAUGAAAAGAAUGUGCUUAUAUUGUGUCGGUAGGUAAUUAUUGCACAUGAAAAUGCAGGUAAAUAACUUAUAUAUACCAUAUAAGUAAAUUAGUGAAUCAACAAAUUCUAAAUGGGUACAUUAAUGAUAUAUAAAUAGACAAAACAUUAUGAAACUCAUUGAAGGCGCAAAACAAGGAGUAAAUCAUCCAUAUUGACAUGAUUGGAGAAUACUUGCAAUUUUGUAAAAUAAUUGCAGUAAUGGGUCAACAACUCAUAUUAAAUUUUGGAUUUUAUUUAGAGGUUAAGAAGUACACGGCUAUAAUGAACUCUCGAAAAAAAAAAAAAAAAACAAGUGAGUUUACGUUUAUGAAAUAAGAGUUACAAGUCUAUAAACAACCUUUAAACCAGAAGUUCCGCCGCCAUAGUUGUCGUACUGAACCGCGUGCAUGGUCUCAUUGGCCAUAGUCUCUCAGUUGUAAGUCCAACCAACGUUACGAAGAGCCGCAGAAACUUGAAGCUCCUCCCUCCCGGAUUCUAUGAAGUACAGAGCUUAUGCUAGUACAGCAAUGGACUCAUUAGUCCAUGUCUAAUGUGGAAUAAACUAAUAAACGUGAUUCAUAAGAAUGUUGACUCAUUGGCCCAUGUCUAUUGUCGAACAAACUAAUACACGUGAUGUUGACUCAUUGGCACAACUAAUUCACGUGAUCAUAAUGAUUUGGGCAGUACAAUAGGUACAUCAUGGUCUGGUCCCCAUGUUAAAUAGACAAUAUGUGUGGUCCAUAUGUUAAAUAGACAAUACGACAAGUAGAUGGUCCCUAUCUUGUCCCUACGUGAAAUAGACAAUACGUAUGUGGUCCAUAUGUAAAUAUACAAUAAGUGUAUGCAGUGCUGAUGCCAAGAUUUGUCGAGGUGAGGGGUGAAAUUCAAGAGAGUGCAAGAUUCAAUCAAAGCGGUUGCUUUUAUAUUGAAGAGUGCAAAGUUUUGAGUCAAUAUUCAAAGCAAAAAAUAGUAUCUCCACAAAAGCGGUUGUAAGCGAUAAUAUCAAAGUCAAUGUAAUAAGCUUAAAUUAGCUAGGAUUAUAUUCUAAAAAAAGCGCUAGUCAGGUAGCAGAUUGGAACCUAGUAGCUAGGCACCUAGGCGAGAUCUAGGCAGGAGCCCAAUAGGAUUUAAAUGAAUUUCUUUUAUCGUAAAAUAAGCAUUAACCAAUAUUUACAUUACUUUUUAAAAAGUAAUACAAUAUUUAUAGAUAAUGUGAGAGUUUAAGAUAAAUACAGUAGGGGUCUUAAAAGAAAAAAAAAAACAAUACUUGAGUGCUCACAAUUUAGUACCAAUUUUACUCACUAGACUUUAUGGCCCAAUAAAAUUACAACAAUUGUCAUUCUUAACUCUCUAACCAAACAACAACAUAUCUACUAUUCUAGCAACCAAACACUUUAAGGGCGCGUUUACUAAUCCGUAAUCAAAUUUAAGGGAAUUGAAUUGAGGAGAAAUCGGAUUGAGGAGGAAUUUAAUUGAGAAUGAAACAAAAUUAGAUUCCGGUUAAAGUUGUUUACAAAAUUAGAUUCUGGAAAUUAAGUUUAUCAAAUUAAAUAUAAGCUUAUUAUAUUAACACCCCACAUAUUGUUGAAUAAACUCCACAUAUUUAAUGCACCUCACAUUUGUUUUUUUAAUUAAAACUUAUUUUAAUAAACCCCACAUACUUCCCAUAACACCCUUAGACCCCACAUUCUCAACAUACACCAUACAUUUUCUAUAUACGCCUCCACAUUCUUCAAAUCUUAUAAUUCUCAUUCUUGCUUUUGUGGUUUUCAUUAGGACUGGGUUCAAAAAACCAAAAAUCGAAAAAAAACUGAGAACCGAACCGAAACAAAAAAAACUGAACAAAAAAAAUCGAACCGAAACGAACCGAAUUUGGCCAGUUCGGUUCAGUUUUUAAGGUCCGAAAACCGGACCGAACCGAAUUAAUUAAAUUAAUAUAUUUUUUUAAUUUUUUAUUAUUUAAAUAUCUGUUUUGAAUAUAUAUAUAUAUAUAUAUAUAUAUAUAUAUAUGUGUGUGUGUGUGUGUUGGAAUGUGUAAUGGGCUAAUUAUUAUAUUAUUAAACUAAUUAAAGUGUUGCUGACAAAGGUUGUAUCAAGCACAUGGGUGCUUGCUUUAUAGAACUUUGUCUCUCUCUCUCUCACUAUUUCUCACUCUCUCGUAGUAUCUCACUAUUUCUCUCUCUCUCCGCUUUUUAUUUCUUAAAUCUUGAUUCUAUUAUUUUAAGUCUGAUUCUUCGAACUUUUGAUCCUAUUAUUUUCAAGUCCGAUUCUUCAAGCUUUUAAUUCUACAAUCUCCAUCUUCGAGUUCUUUUUCAUUCUCAAACCCACCGUCGAAUUCGAGUUUGUGAUUCUAUGAUACAACUGCAGUUUUCAUUCUCAAAAUCGAAACAAACCGAAUUGAAAAAAAUAGACCGAACCGAACCGAAAUUUCGGUUCGGUUUCGGUUUGGACAAAAAACUGAACCGUUUCGAACUGAACCCAGCCCUAGUUUUCAUUAUUCUCCAUGGAAAUCCUGAUCUUCCGUUUCCUUCUUUUGGUGUUUGUCUGAGAGAUAGUUCUGCUACUUCGACUUUCUCUUUGCUUCCAUUUAACAUAUUGAACUACCUCCUUUCGGUGACUCCUAUCAACGUAGGGGAUUGUGCUGGCAUCUUGGUUGAGAAUGAUGGUAUUCACUCGCAAAGUGGAAAAAAAAUAAAAAUAAAAUAGGCUUCGGGGGCUUGGACGCUUCAACGAAGGUUAAUGGCUUUACCUGUUCAAAUAUUGAAUAAUCAACAUUGAGAGUAUGACAGUAAGAGGACAGAAAAUAACAUGGAUGGGGAUAAUUAGGAAAUAUAUAACAACAUGUGAUUCAAAAUAAAAAUAAGCCCCAGCGUUGUAAAUGGAUCGAGAAGCAUGAUUAGUUGGGACAAGGUCCUAUUAUCAUUGAGGUUUAUAUCAGACUUGCCAUGGGGAAAAUGAAUCAAUGUUACCUUUCAUUUCCAGAACUGUGAUGCUUUUGACAACAUAUGCAAGCAUACCAAAACAUGUCUAUCAAUCAGUGGUUACCUUUUAUUUUAAACUGAUACUGGAAGAAUCCUUGAUAGAUUAGAGACUAAUAUAUAUACUUGUAUUGAGAACAAAAUAAUAGUAAAUUGAAAAAUAAAAGUAGAAGAAUACAUAGAUUACAAGUAUUCAACAAAUUUAGAGUUUAAAAACAUAUUAAUAUAAUCAUAAAAGGCCUAGCCCCACCAAAACCCUAUUUACUUUUGCAUUCAUUUUUCCUCUGGAGCCCAAAAUGCUCCCUAGCCCCACCAAAACCCUAUUUACUUUUGCAUCCUCGUACCUUUGUUAGCUGUUUCUGCAAAAUCCGAAGAACCAUAAAUGGUCAGAUGAAUCAAGAAUCCAAAGAAAGCCAAAAGAAGGGCCAGGGUUAGCGCCAAAUUCCACUAUCUUCUCCGUUGAUUGUUUAAUUAUUUUAAUAAAAUUAGGGUUUUGUCUUAAAUUUUUGUUUAGGGCUCAAAGAAAAAAGGUGGAUUGCCUUCCUCUUCAGGACCAUCGAUGCUGGCGAAGGUAUAGCAACCGCCUAGCGGGCCGCCUAGACCGCCUAGCGGGCCGCCUAGACCGCCUAGCGGGCCGCCUAGACCGCCUAGCGGCUGCCCAGGUACCCGCCUAAGCCAUCAUCGAGUUUCUCUAAUGUUUUGCUCCAAAUCACCUCGGAAGCCUAACGCCCAGCGCCUAGGCAGCCGCUUAGACCACGUUUUCGAACACUGGUUAGAAUGAAACUUAAUUAAAAUAGAUCAAAGCAUGACUUUGGUAGGUGAGAAGCCACCAACAUCCAUAUUUAAUAUAGAGACCAUAAUUAUUGUAGUGCGUACAUUAUAUAACCCAAUUAUCAAUUUCCUUUCUCUUUCUCUUUCGAAAAUCAAUGAAUAAUGGGUGAAACUUUAUAAUUUUAACCAGAUCCACAGAAUGUGAAACUUUAAUUUUAAUUUGCUACUAUUUCAUUGCCUUGGAUUUUUGUCACUGGUAGUGGCGACCGAAAAAAGCAAUGAACAGAUGGACAUGGGAAGUACAGAAAUUUCUGGAUGGAUGUUACGAGUGUACGAUCACCUUCAUACGCUCAACCCAAUCUGAUAGGAUUGAAGUUUCUUUUCAAUUUUUUUCUAUCAUUUUUUUUCUAAAUUUGGUUUUGAAUUUGCAGGUACUGGCCUCCAGCAGCCCUCUGCUUGCACAUCCGCACUCUGCAACCUCUAAUUUGGGUAAAUUUUGGUUUUGAUUUUUCUAGAUCAAUAUGUAUUUGUGCCUGGCUGUUUAAUUCUACGAUUGAGGAUUUUUAACUAGAUUUAUUAUUAUAUAUGGAGGAUUUUUAAUCAAUUUUUCUAUUUGCUUUUUACUUUUCCGCAUUUUUCUUUUUACUGUGAAUUGUAUGAUGAAAUUAUUUUUUUGGAAUGCUUCUAUUUUUCUUGCAAGAUGAAAUUAUUUUCUAGAAUGCUUCUGUUUUUCAUGUAGGAUUAAAACAUACAUAAUUGUUUAAGUUACCACUUUAUACUCUACAAUCAACUAUGUCUACUAGUAUAUAUACGGCAAGAUACUUAACAAAAAGUGACUCAAAGCGUCUCGAUAACAGUAGAUAGCCAAAAACAACUAGCCAAAAUGGCCGAUCAGAGUCGGUAGCCAAAAAACAGCUAGCCAAAGUGGUACUCAAGCUUUAUAUCUUGGUCUGCAAAAAAAUGUUGUUAGCUUCAUCACCGUCUAUUACCGAGAGAAAUUUUUUAUUGUGAUUGGAAUACGAGCGUUACAUCACAUGUUUUAUAUAAGUAAUAGAAAAUUUUAAUAAUAUAUAUAUCUCAUCAUUUGUAUAGUUACAUAUGGUGUAUCAUUUCAUAUUCUGAUUACACUAAAAAAUUUCUCUAUUACAGACGAGUUUCCUUGUAAAAGGAUAUUAUAUUUGGAGGGACCACAUAAAGAUAAUUGGGCUGAAUUGGUGGUUGCUUUUCUUUCAUUUAUAAUGUAUAUGUGUUCUUACUUUGUCCACUCCUUUUUGUCUCGUAAAUGUUUUUUGUGUGUCACAAAUGAGUCUGACUUGUCCUACUAGGUUGAGUCUGACUUGUCCUAACUUAAUUCAACCAGCCAUUCGAUACCUAACCUCAUAUCUAAAUGACUAAUUUCUAUUGGAUUAGGUGUUGAGUUUUUACUUAUGUGUUCAAAACUUUCCCUUUCUCUCAAGUAAUAUAAUAGUUUCGAACUCUUCCCUUACUCCUUAAUAAUAGUAACUUUUUCUUUUUUAAAAAGGACAUGAUAGAAUGCAUGUGAGGUAAGUUUUUUUGAGGUCGUGAUUUAGAAAGGAAAAAAUGUUGUGUGGUGCUAUCUGACAUUGGAAAGUUAAAUCUUGUAUUAUGAGAAAAGUUUGGUCUAUUUUCAAUUGGUUUUGAAGUGCAACUUCAACUUUCUUCAUGUAAGAGAAAGAAAAAAGAAACAAAGAGGCAAUAAUGAGUUAUGGAUUGCCCUGACAUUCUUAGUCAACCAACUGCGUCUCAAGUUCAAACCCUUCUCUCUUCACUAGUGUAGAUUAGUAGAGUUUUGUAAUAUAUUUGAAUAUUUUUCUUUCUUGUGUUUUUUGGGAAUCUACAUUUAGAUCAUUUCGAAUGUUUGGUUAACUUAUUUUUUUAUAUGAAUUUUCAAUUACAGGUUGGUACUUGGUUGCUUGACUUCUAACCCUUUUGUUAGCUCAUAUGAGUAGUUGUGUGCGUGUUGUAUUCUCUUUUGUUGUGAUGGAUUUUUGUUUGAGAUUUUAGUUAGGAUUCUUGUUUCUCACUAAGUCUACUUGCUUUGCUUUAUAUAUAAAUUAGUUGUCAUUUGGGAUUUGAAUAUUUAGGUCUCACUGUUUUUCAAGAAUGGUCUCUUUGUGUAGGUCCACUAAUAUGGAAAACAAAGGUCCAACUAGGUUGGCCAACAAAUAAUCCAUUUUUGUCUUUUGCAGGUCAAUCAUGGUAUUGGUUAUAUCACCACCCAUAUUCCCAGGUGCUAUUACAAAUAUAUACCGGUAAAGUCGUUUAAUAACUUAAAUAGGUGUUAAUAUGUAUACCUUUUGGUCAAGUGUACUGUAGAAGGGAUAUAUCUUGUGUAUCAACACUUUUUUUCUUGCUAUAAUGUUUUUAGUAAGUUAUGCGUUUGAACAACAUUUGGGUUACCUAACCGUUUUGUUUGAGUGAAACAGUUCUUGAUAUGUCUACUGGAAUGGAUUACAAAAUUAAAAGUGGUGAUGCAGCUGGAGCUUUAAAGAUUGAACCUAUUCAAAGGGCCAGUUUCCUCUAUGUUGCCUAUUAUUGAUGCUACCGAUUUCGUAGCAGACAACUCCCAUUCAAUAUUUUUAGUUAUGAUAUUAUCUUUUUCAAGCUACAAUUGGGAUAUAUUGUAGGUUACUGUGGACAUGUUAAUGUAAAAACUACCCAUAUUUGAAUUAUAAGAAUUUUUUUUCAUUGAGUUUCAUAGUAUGUACUUGCCAUUUACAUAACUACAUUAAGCUGAAAUGCUAGUUUAAUUCCUAAAAUGAUAAAAUGUAAAUGAAUAAAUGGAUUAAAAUAUAAUAUAAACAAUUUAAAGGAGCAUGUGACGAUAUACCUAUUCAUCACAUAAUUUUAGGAUUUGUGACGCUUAUAACGUCAUAAAUUGAGUCAAGAUUGGCAUUUGGGCUUGAAAAUAUGUGAGGAAUCGGGCGCCACGUAUACUAAGAACAAGUGACGAAUCACAAAUUCGUCACAUAUACUAUCGAUGACUCCACAUAGGUGACGAGCCUUGUGACAACCGAAAUUCGUCGCAUAUACUAUUAUAUGACGAAUUUGUAGUAUUCAGUGACGCUUUGCCAUCGUCACUGAAGCCCUGUUUUCUUAUAGUGAAUACAUAUACUUGUAUUGAGAACAAAAUAAUAGUAAAUUGAAAAAUAAAAGUAGAAGAAUAUAUAAAUUACAAGUAUUCAACAAGUUUAGAGGUUAAAAACACAUUAAUAUAAUCAUAUAUUAUUUUGGGCCCAAAAUAAAGGCAUAUUAUAAUCAUAAAAUGCCUAGCCCCAUCAAAACCCUAUUUACUUUUGCAUUCAUUUCUCCUCUGGAGCCCAAAAUGCUCCCUAGCCCCACCAAAACCCUAUUUACUUUUGCAUUCAUUUCACCUCUUACCUUUGUCAGCCGUUUCUACAAAAUCUGAAGAACCAUAAAUGGUCAGAUACAUCAAGAACCUAAAGAAAGCCGGCCCAGGUUAGCUCCAAAUUCCACUACCUUCUCCGUUGAUUGUUUAAUUAUUUUAAUAAAGUCAGGGUUUUGUCUUAAAUUUUUGUUUAGGGCUCAAAGAAAGGACGUGGAUCUCCUUCCUCUUUGGGACCAUCGAUGCUGGCGAAGGUAUGGCAACUGCCUAGUGGGCCGCCUAACACCGCCUAGACCGCCUAGCGGCUGCCUAGGCGCCUGCCUAAGCCAUCACCGAUUUUCUCUAACGUUUCGCUCCAAAUCACCUCGGAAGCCCAACUCCCAGCGCUUAGGCUGCCUCUUAGGCCGCAUUUUCGAACAUUGGUUAGAAUGUAACUUAAUUAAAAUAGAUCAAACCAUGGCUUUUGUUGAACACUGAAAUAGAAAGGAACGAAGUUACCCGAAAAAAUGUAAAAGCCUUGAGUGGUGAAUGAUUCUUGGGAUGAGUCGCGGACUAAGUCACUUUCUUUAAGACGUUUCGCGGCUCUGCCCAAAGUGUGCAAGCAGUUCACAAACACCACGUCGUCCCUAGGAUAAAACAGCCAAGAACCUUCUUCUGAUAAGAUUCUUCCUUGCACAUCGGAAGAACCUUCGAACUUACACCUUACCAAUAUAUUGCUUUUUAUAAAUCAAUAUAUAUAAAACUUUUUCUUACUUCGUCUAUGUUCUGCUCUUUUUCUAACCUAUAUAAUCUAUAUAUAUAUAUAUAAAGAAAUAGACAUUGGAGGGUUUGAAACCGUAAGAAAUCAUGGAUGUUUAUAGGAUGCACGUUGGAGGGUGUGAAACCGUACAAAAUCAAGGAUAUUUAUGGGGAUUUAUGGGAUGCAAAACUGUCUACAAUCAAAGGAUGAUAACAAAUUAUGUUUUAUAUUUAAUGUUUGUAAUAAACUAAAAUAUAAAUAUUUAAAAUAUUUAAAUAAAAACAUAAAUGCUCCAACAGCUUUGGUAGGUGAAAGCCACCAACAUCCAUAUUUAAUAUAGGGACCAUACUUAUUGUAGUGCCUACAUCAUAUAACCACCAUAGGGUGGCUCAGUGGUUGGGUUCGAAUUCUAGGUUUGUAUUCUACACGGUACGUCUUGAGUUCAAUUCUUAGCGCUUGUCAAUAUGGGUGGGUUCAAAAAACCGAAAACCGAAAAAAACCAAAAAUCGAACCGAACCGAACCAAAUUCUUUUGGUUCGGUUUCAGUUUCAGUGGUCUAGAAACCGAACCGAACCAAAUUAAUUAAAUUAAUAUUUAAAAAAAUAAUAAUUAUCUGUUUUGGGUAUUAUUUUGUAAACCCAAUUUAUAAGCCCAAAUAUGCUAAAAGCCCAAUGUGUUGCCAAAUUUUAAACCAAAAAUAUUAAAAAUAAAGCCUUUAGAAACUCUAAACCCAAACUUUAAGCCCAAAAUAUUGUUUCUUCACCCAUAUCCAGAUUUAAAAUUAAAAAUAAAUAAAAAAACAUGAAAACAAGAGUAAACUGUACCAUAUGCAUGCCACAUUUCAAAUAUUAUUUUGCAUUGGAUAUGUAUUUUUUUAUGUAUAGCAAACCUGCAGCAAAUAACAAUCAUUAGGAUGAUAAUAGGCAUAUAUUCCUUUCCCAUCUCAUUGAUCUCCUAUGCAAUAUAUAACCCACCCACCCACGGAUAGUGCAAGGAAAACCAUAAGCUUCUCAGAGAGAAUUUAUAAAUCACAGGUUGAUGAGUGUUCUCCGCUUGGAUCGACGUCAUGCCAUGAUGAUGGUUUUUCUUGCAUACACGGAAUAAGAGCCUAUUGUUCUAGGUAGUCAUGAAAAUAGCUUGAUUUGAUAUUCAUUUGUUCUAGUAGCUAGGUUUCAAUAAUAUAGUUUAUCACCCUAUUUAUCAAGUUUAAUGUCUAAACGUUAUUAUGUUUUUGGGAAUGAUUUUAGGGCAGCUAAAUAACAUGCCAAUAUCUAGAUUAAAAAAAUAAUUGGAAAAAACCGAACCAAACCGAAAUCGAAACUGAAAAAAACCAAACUGAACCGAUUUGAACUGAACCUAGCCCUACUUGUGAAUCAUACGAUGGUGGUAAAAGGGAGACUAAAAUUCCUCUUUGAGUUUUCCUGGCUACCAAAAAGGUGGAUUACUGUGACGAAGCCAACUAGUCCCUUUUUUGAAAAAAAAAAAUACACAUGAUUCAUGUUAAUAUAAUAAAAUCAAUAUUUUGUUGAUCUUGUAUUUCCACACACUAAUACACAUGUUAUAUGUUAUCAGUAUUUUGUUGAUCUUGUAUUCUUGUUGAAAUUUCAUCUUCUAGAAAAUUAUGUUGGCAUGUCAUAUUUUGUGACACUUAACCUAACUUUUUGAUAAAGUUGCACAUUUCGAGAAACAAAAACUAUAAUGAACAACUAGCAUUUGCCUAUUUUUUUAGAAAAUGAGAAGGAGAGAGAGAGAGAGAGAGAGAGAGAGAGAGAGAGAGAGAGAGAGAGAGAGAGAGAGAGAGAGAGAGAGAGAGAGAGAGAGAGAGAGAGAGAGAGAGAGAGAGAGAGAGAGAGAGAGAGAGAGAACGUGGGGGAAGUGAGAGUUUUUUUUAUUUUUUAUUUUUUAUUUUUAAUAUUGAAGGUAUUUUAACAUUACCUGUAGGUGAGACUUCAAUAAAAAUAGUAAAAUUUAGAGUUGUGAAAUUACAUUAUUGCCGAUUAUUUUUUUGUGUGAUAGAAGACUAAGUAGUCUUUUCACUUUCUUUUGGUUGACAAAGAGGGUUUCAUUAAUUAAUAGAGAUAAGAAUGAAAAAAUUUAAGGAAAAAUUAGUAUUCAGUUCUUAGUUUUUAAUGUUCUUAUAUUAAUUAAGACCUUAAUAGUUUUUAUAUUUUGAUCAAAGUCCCUAACAUUAAUGUAUUAAUAAAUUACAUGUCAGUUACAUAAAUUUUAAAAUAAAAAUUAGUAAUUGAUUUAGGGUUUUAAUACUCACAUCCUUAUUAAACUCCUAAUUCAUUUUCAAUUCAAAAAAUUUCCAAAAUAUAAAAACUAAAAUAAGAAUAAGUUUGUACCCAUUAAUGUUUUAUAAAAAAAAAUUCAAAAUUUUAAUUUUAUAUGUACCCAUUUAUAUAAUUCUUCUAUUUUUCUAAUCUUAAAUGUACUUAUUCUUAGAUAUACCAAUUUGUUAUCUAUAAAAUGUACUUUUUUUUAAUAUAAAUGUAGACAUCGAAAUUUCGGUAAAUAAAUGUUGACCGAUAAAUCAAAGUGUCAACGCUCAUGUAUUACAUAAAUUUUACACGUAGCGUAUGACUCAACGAAAAUUGAAAUGAGUUGGAAAAGUCAUCAAACAGGACACGUGUCAACACAUGGCAGAAAAGACUUAUUUCAUCUGGAAUAUUAUAUUCAAAAUUAGGCCUUGGAAAAUUCUAUAAAUAGAAGGCUAAUUCAUUCAUUUGGAACCAAUUGAUACUACACCUUGAAGCUCUGAAGCUCUGAAACUCCGAAGCUCUCAAGCAUCUAGGUUCCCGAAGAAUCAAGAAAGCCUUCUUCGUUCUUCGUUCAUCAUCCGUUCUUCCAAGAUCAAGCCCCGACGGCCCUUGGAUCAACAAUCAUCCACCUUCAAAGAUCAAGCCCACGACCCCUUGAAGAAACUUCCAACAGUUCAUCCAAGAUCAAGCCCCAACGGCCCUUUGGAUCAACAACGUUCAACAAAUCCACACAUCCAACCGUUCUUCAAGAUCAAGCCCAAAAGCCCUUGAAGAUCCGUUCAUCACCGUUAUUCAAGAUCAAGCCUUAACGGCCAUUGAAGAAACACUUAUCCUCAAGAUCAAGUUCCAACGGCUCCUUGAAGAUCCGCUCAAAUCCACCUUCAAAGAUCAAGCCCACGGCCCCCUUGAAGAAACUUCCAACAGUUCAUCCAAGAUCAAGCCUCAACGACCCUUGGAUCAACGAAACAUCCACAAAUCAAUACCUUACGGAGAUCGAAUCAGAGGAUCAAAUUUGAGAGAGAUUGUAACCCAAAAUCAAAAAAUACAAAUAUUUGUUUGUGCACGUCGUUCUUGUCUCUUUCGUUUCAGGAAUUUUCCGUGUUCACAAAUUGGCACGCCCAGUGGGACAAUCUCUGCCUCUCAUCUCUUUCUCCGUUCAAGAAAUUCAAGCGCCCUUCCAAAAUUAAUGACAUCAAGAAAGGCUCAAAUUGUUCCCGCAACCGGCGCAAAGAACAAAAGCGUCCUCGUCGCAACUGGUGUCACUUUGGGCAUCACGACUCGAAGCAUGGCAAGAGCUACUUCUGCCGCCUCUUUCACCUCUGCAUCAACUCUGCCAAGGGAACAAAAGCACCCAAGGCACGAGCCUUUGAUCACCUUACCUCACUAAGGGCACCAAGGGGGGAAAGCCCAAGGAAAUACUCCGAAUCCAUGCUCUCCGAUGCCGAUUCAAGCGACAGUUCAGCCAUGUAAGUCAUGACCAUUGGAGCAACUUCAAUCGAUGAGCAGCUGGCUCAAAUGAAUGAAGCAAUCGCAAGGCUAACCCGAACUGUGGAAGAAAAAGACUUGCAAAUUGCAGCACUAGUCAACCGAUUGGAGGCGCAAGACGACGAUAAACCCGACCCAGAGGAUGAUCCACUAAAGGGAGGAGCUGGCGGAGACGAAGAACCCCCGGUGAAGAAAAUCGAUGGGAAGCCGGAGCCAGACCAAGCAGCGGCACUCAUGGGAUCUCUUUCUAUCCAGCAGCUGCAGGAGAUGAUCACCAACACCAUCAAGGCACAGUACGAAGGGAGCUCACAUACCUCAUUGUUCUACUCGAAGCCCUAUUCCAAGAAGAUUGAUGCCCUAAAGAUGCCAAGGGGUUAUCAACCACCAAAGUUCAUGCAGUUUGAUGGAAAAGGAAACCCAAAGCAGCACGUUGCACAUUUCGUCGAAACUUGCAACAACGCGGGGACGGAGGGAGGCUACCUCGCCAAGCAAUUUGUGCGCUCGCUGAAAGGAAAUGCCUUUGAGUGGUACACAGACCUAGAGCCUGAGUCCAUCAACAGCUGGGAGCAAUUAGAACGAGAAUUCCUCAACCGCUUCUACAGCACCCGCCGCACUGUGAGCAUGCUAGAGCUAACGAGCACAAAGCAGUGGAAGGACGAGCCAGUCAUUGACUACAUCAACAGAUGGCGCACUCUAAGCCUCGACUGUAAAGACAGGCUUUCGGAAACCUCUUCAAUCGAGAUGUGCAUCCAAGGCAUGCAAUGGGGUUUGCAAUACAUCAUUCAAGGCAUUAAACCACGGACUUUCGAGGAAUUGGCCACUCGCGCCCAUGACAUGGAGUUGAGCAUCGCCCAUCAUGGGAAGAAGGAAUCGAUCGCCGACUACAAAAACGACAAAGUUCUUGGGCCAAAGGUGGAGAAGGCUACGUGGAAACCCACCAAGGAAGCAAUGACGGUCAACACAGCUCCCGUCAAAAUCCCCACACGAGGCAAGGCGAUUCAAGCCGAAGGCUUUCGUGAUCAAGAGAUGCGUAGACACACUUUGAAGGAGCUUGAGGAGAAAACUUAUCCAUUCCCCGACUCUGAUGUGGUUGCCAUGUUAGAAGACUUGCUGGAAAAGAAGGUGAUCGGCUUGCCUGAGUGCAGACGGCCAGAAGAGAUGAAUCGCACUGACAGUUCAAGGUACUGUAAAUUCCACCGCUUCAUCAGUCAUCCGACAGAAAAAUGUUUCGUGCUGAAAGAUCUCAUCAUGAAGCUGGCUCAGAAAGGAAUCAUCGAGCUAGAUCUUGACGAUGUGGUGAACACAAACUAUACCACCAUCACUUCUGGCUUUUCCGACUCGAAGUUUUCACCUCAACCGCUGGGGGCAUCCUCCAAGACAAGCAAAAUUGAAGGAUGGACUCAAGUCACUCCUAAGAAAUUGCACAAGAAGCAUACGUCUCCUCCACAAGUCCGCCAAUCGGAAAGGGGGCAAAACAGCUCUUGUCAACCUUCAAAGCAACAUGAACGUGUUGAAGAUGAUGAAAUUGCGACACAAAGAUCGUCCGUUGCCAUCACGAUGCGCGACUUCUUACCUAGAAGACGAAGGCAAAUGCUGCUGGAACAAACCCACAAACCUCUGAUGAUCAAGUAAAAUCUGACCAUCAGAUUCUUGCAUCUGGUCAAUCUUCCUCUUCAUGUUUGUCGCAUAGCUAUGUGCGAGCUUAUGCAACUGUUUAUUCUCCUGCUUGAGCCUUCUAAUCUCCUGUUUGAGACUCAUCACUUCCGCCACCAAUGAUUCAACUUGACGGGUUCGAGCAAAUAGGCGUUGGGCCAUAUUAGACACAGAACCUGCACACUGCACACUGAGAGCCAGAGAAUCCUUAACAGCUAACUCAUCAGACCGUUUGGAAAGUAGUCUGUUAUCUCUAGGAGUGACAAGGUUUCGGGCCACCACUGCAGCGGUCAUAUCAUUCUUCACCAUCGAAUCCCCAACGGUAAGAGGACCAGUAGGGGAUAUGAAGGAUGGGCGCCAUAUGUUGUCUGGAGAAGGCGGGACUACCUUUUCACCAAGGUUCAAAUCAAAACGAUGGUCGGAAGGCCCAGACAUUUUCAAAGGUGUUGAAGAAAGAAGAGGUCGGACAAAUUAAGAUCUUAGAAGUGCAAGAGGGGAGUUUCUACAAGCAAAAAUUCAAGUGUGCUUUGAAACGAACUGCGUGCCUCUAUAAAAAAACCAGCACUCGACAGGAUUUCAGAGAUCGAAGAGGUGAGCUCAGAGUUCGAAAAUGUCGAUUCAAAAAUCGAAGAGGCAAGCUCAGAAAUCGGAGAAGCAUCUUGCUUUUCCAGACGCGUUAGCACCCGUCACGCGCAAACUCAGCUUUGCGAAAAUCACGGGCAAUUUGUCGAAGCGCCGAUCCCAGAUAUCGAAGAGGUGCCAGUCUUUUUCAGCCUCGUCAACACCUAUCACACGCACACUCAGCUUGAUGAAAAUUACGGACAAUUUGUCGAAAAUUUCUGAUAAAGAAGAAAGCACGUGAAGCCAUACUGAUCAAUCACGCAUUGGUUACCGACACGAGUAAAAGAAUAGUACCUCUACAGGUACUAACGAAUUUCCUAUAACUGUCCACCUUCACCCUCCAUAGCGAGGCAGACAUACAUAACCUUUCUUCAUCUCCGAGAAUGCCUUCCCAACGAAGCCUCUCGGGUCACUCAGUGUUCCUUAUUCCUUGGGGUACCUCUGCAAGCCAAUGACUCCAAAGCAAAAGUAUCUCAUAUCACCAGGGUAGAAAGCAAGAGUAUCUCAUAUCAUGCGUUCUCCCUGUCAUUUCCUUUGUCCUUGUUCUUACCUACAAAGAUAAGGAUAAAGAAAACAAUAUGCCGGAACUUCCACUCAAACUCGGGUAAGGAACCGACUGCUUGGAACCCUUCCCUGAUUGCCUACCUAGCACUGCUCUCGAGUACUCGUCUCCCACUGCUGCUGUACUUCCAAAGAAGCUGCCACAUCUGCCUGAAGAACAUAUAAAGGCAAGUGAAAAUAAUACCUUGCAGCAUGUAGAGACAACGUGCAGAAGAAACAAGCAGAGAAGAAUGCGGUCUGCACAGUCAACUCAGCAGAAGGAGUCCGAACUGAGGAACUCAAGAAGCUGCCACAUCUGCCUGAAGAAACAAGCAGAGAAGAAUGCAGCAUGCACAGUCAACUCAGCAGAAGGAGUCUGAGAUGAAGAACUCGAGAAGAUGCCGCAUCUGCCUGAGGAACAGUUAAAGGAAAUGAAAAUGAUACCUUGAAGCAUAUGGAGACAAGUGCAACAAAGCACGUGCUGAGUCAUCCGCUACUUCUUCAAAAUCAAAAGUAUCUCAUAUCAUCAGGGUUGCAAUCAUUCUGGAUGGUGAACUCGUUUUGACCCUCAAAUUCUUGGGUCGACUUACUAGGUGUUGUGAGAUGUACGUGUCGAUUCACCACCCUUGAAUCAAAUCCUUAAAGAUCAAGUCACCAACUGGAAGAAGAGCCCAUCAAUCUUGAAGAUCAUACCGUUGACCAAACUGCUCAGGUGUGAAUUAGAAAGAUUGAACAAAGCAACAAGUCGUCACCUUCACCUCGUGCCUGCUUGUCAUGUGUUCGAGUCAACCUUCAAGAAUCAAGCCUCAAAGGCCCUUGAAGAAGUUUCCAGCCAAAUUCAAGAUCAAGCCUCGACGGCCCUUGAGGAAAUCACAAGUCCGAUUCAAGAUUAAGUGUCUACCACCUUUGAAUCAAAACCCAGUUCAAGACCAAAGCUGUGGAAAGUCAACAAGCACAACAUAAUAUGUGCCACUUCAUCCACUACCAAAGCCAAAGAUCAUCUACCACAUGAAGCUCAUUGUGGUCCAAUUUCAACCUUCAAGAUCAAGCCUUGACGGCCCGUGAAGAAAUUUCAAAUAAAAGUUCAAGAACAAGCCUCAACGGCCCUUGAAGAAAUUUCAAACGAAAGUUCAAGAACAAGCCUCAACGGCCCUUGAAGAAAUUUCAAGCCCAAGUCAAGAUCAAGCCUCAACGGCCCUUGAAGAAAUCUCCAGCCCAAUUCAAGAUCAAGCCUCGACGGCACUUGGAUCGACAUCUACAGUAAGGGACUUCAAAACGCAUCUCCUACACGUGACAAGCACAUGUAUACGACGUGCCUUGAAGUGGGGGCAUUUGUAGACAUCGAAAUUUCGGUAAAUAAAUGUUGACCGAUAAAUCAAAGUGUCAACGCUCAUGUAUUACAUAAAUUUUACACGUAGCGUAUGACUCAACGAAAAUUGAAAUGAGUUGGAAAAGUCAUCAAACAGGACACGUGUCAACACAUGGCAGAAACGACUUAUUUCAUCUGGAAUAUUAUAUUCAAAAUUAGGCCUUGAAAAAUUCUAUAAAUAGAAGGCUAAUUCAUUCAUUUGGAACCAAUUGAUACUACACCUUGAAGCUCUGAAGCUCUGAAACUCCGAAGCUCUCAAGCAUCUAGGUUCCCGAAGAAUCAAGAAAGCCUUCUUCGUUCUUCGUUCAUCAUCCGUUCUUCCAAGAUCAAGCCCCGACGGCCCUUGGAUCAACAAUCAUCCACCUUCAAAGAUCAAGCCCACGACCCCUUGAAGAAACUUCCAACAGUUCAUCCAAGAUCAAGCCCCAACGGCCCUUUGGAUCAACAACGUUCAACAAAUCCACACAUCCAACCGUUCUUCAAGAUCAAGCCCAAAAGCCCUUGAAGAUCCGUUCAUCACCGUUAUUCAAGAUCAAGCCUUAACGGCCCUUGAAGAAACACUUAUCCUCAAGAUCAAGCUCCAACGGCUCUUUGAAGAUCCGCUCAAAUCCACCUUCAAAGAUCAAACCCAUGGCCCCCUUGAAGAAACUUCCAACAGUUCAUCCAAGAUCAAGCCUCAACGGCCCUUGGAUCAACGAAACAUCCACAAAUCAAUACCUUACGGAGAUCGAAUCAGAGGAUCAAAUUUGAGAGAGAUUGUAACCCAAAAUAAAAAAAUACAAAUAUUUGUUUGUGCACGUCGUUCUUGUCUCUUUCGUUUCAGGAAUUUUCCGUGUUCACAAUAAAAUCUACCUAUUUUUUUUUAUAUAUAAUUCAUUCAAUCUUUUUUCUAAUUCAUUUUUUAAAUUUAUGUGGGUACAUUCUAUUUCUUUGAUUUGAGAAUGAAUUCAUGUCAAGUUUAAUAGAAGAAAUUUAAUAUGUACCCAUGUUUUGGAGCAAUAAUUUUUUUGUUAGUUUUAAUGAACGUACCCAUGUAUGUAUGUGUAUGUAUGUAUGUACACACACAAAAUAUAUUGGAGAGUAUAAUUUAUCUUUAAUAUUUUUUUAUCCCAUAAAUUAUAGGUUUUAUUUAAAAUCUCAUUAAUAUAAAUAACUACAAAUUUCAUUUUUAAUUUAAAAAUAAAAUAACCUACAUAGAAAUACAUUAUUACAUUAAUGUCAAGGACUUCGAUCAAAAACGGAAAAUCACAAAAGUUUCAGUAAAAAAACAUUGAUAAUUAGGGACCGCAUCCAAAGUCUCCCAAAAUUUAAUGACCGAGGCAAUAGCGGAUUCAAAAUUUAAACUUUGGCUCUUUUAAUUUAAAAACCUAAAUUUUGAAAAUAAAAAUUUUAGCGCGCGAACAAAUUUCAGUUGAUUCACGGAGACAUUUCAUCGAACACUUAGUGAGCUUGUUAUCGUCAGAUGAACUAUAUUAUGAAUAUGUUAACAGAUAUUGACAUUUGCUGAAGCUAUAUGACAAGUGCUAUGGAUAGCAUUUGUAGAAUAUUAUUGACGCAACCUACCGAGUACUAUCAAGAUAUGCUUAGAGGGGAUUACAUCAAAUACUGAUCCCAAUGUGCAUCUGCCCUUGAACUAACAUGGUCAUUUUAUUUUGGAUGGAAAAUUAAAUAGAAAUUGGAUGUCAAAGAUCUUCGGCCAACUUUGUAUAACUUGUAUCAAAAGCACUGUCAAAUAUACUUUACAAGAAAAUGAACAUAAAUCAAAUAAUCCAUAUCAUUAACAAUACAAGACCCACACAUUAAACUAUUAGAAAUAUCAUAUAGCACACAACUAAAGCAACUGUAUCAGACAACUCUUGCAUUUAUAAUUUGUUUUAGGUUACAAGACUAUAUUUCGUCUACUUAAGCCUCAACGAUGACCUUCCCGGUUGCAUGUCCAUCCAUACUCUUAGCCCAUGCAUCUUCAGCCUUGCUCAGAGGAUGCGUCGAGUCGAUUACCGUCUUGAGCUUUCCUUCCUUCACCAACUUAACAAGAUACUCAAGGUUCUCAGCCUUGACAUCAGCAAACAGCGGCACCAGCCGCUUCUUCGAGAAGGAGAGUUUCUUCAGAGCAAAAGUAAGAAAGGCACUUGGACCGGGAGUGAUUGCUAUGACCUUCCCGUUGGAACUCAAAUUAGGCUCAAAAGUUGACCAGGGAACACCGGUACUGGUUGUGCAGUGGACCACGGCAUCAUAUUUCCGACCAGAUGGGCUCUUCAGAGCUGCUCCUUCUGGGGUCUUGUAGUCAAGAACCUCAUCUGCCCCUAAGCUCUUGACAAAUUCAACGUUACGAGCUCCACAAGUGGCCGUAACAUGAGCAUUACCGAGCUUGGCUAAUUGGACUGCAUACUGACCCACACCGCCAGAGGCAGCAGUAAUCAAUAUGUUCUUUUGCUGGCCACUUCCGUCAAGCUUGACCCGAGCAGCUUGCGUGAGACAUUGGUGAGCUGUGACGCCAGCAAUAGGUAAGCCUGCAGCUUCAGCUGCUGAAACUUCUGGUGGCCUGGCCGCUGUCAUGUUCUCAUUAGCUGUGGCGUACUCAGCCAGUCCGCCUCCAAUCUAUCCAUAUGUAAGAUGACAACAGAAAAUUGAGGCAUAGAUAUAACAAACGAGAUCUAAAUGCUAAACUUCUUAUAUGCACAAUGAGCUAUUCAAAAAGGGGAAAAAGUAACCAAAGGAUUAAGAUGAACACUCACAGCAGCGGUCAGAUAUGCCACAACUUUGUCGCCCGGUUUGAACUUUUGGACGCCCUCUCCAACUUUUACAACCUCUCCAGCAACAUCAGUAACUAUUUUCAAUGAUAUCAUUACACGAUGUCAACAAACCAACCUACCAGCCUAAGACUCUCAGACAUGAAUGCAUAAACCACAAAACAACUCGUCUCGCAAUAUAGGAGCAAUAUCUCUCCAUUUUAAAGUCAAAGCAUAAAUUUGUUUCAUAAUCCAGCUAAUUUAUCUACCUCAAAACUAUCCAAAUACUUCAAUGUAUGAUGAGUGUUUUAUUAACAACAUGAACUAAUCUGUAACCAUUAUGCCCAAUUCUUUAAAGAGGGCAAUCUCUUUGGGACACCGAGUAGAGCAUGAUUUUGUUUCAAACGCCGUAGUAAUUAAUCAACAUUAGGUAGCUUUAUUAAUCAGUUCAAUGUUGUCGUAAUUAAUCAAAUUUAGGUAACUUUACUUUAUCAUCAGUACAUUGCCUGGCCUGCGGCAGUUUAUAUGACACGAAUUGAUUUAUGAAGGAUCCUCAAACGUUAAUUGACUGGAACAGGGUGAUUAUUGAAGAAUUUAACAAACCUAAGUAACUAAACUUCACCAAAUUCUACAGGCAGUGAAAGAAAAUUUGCAAAACAAGCACUGCAUAGUCAUAUGAGGAAAACUUUUGAAAAGGAGGCAGGUAAAAAUCUCGAGUCUUUAGUUAUUGUCGAGAGAUUUUUCAAGGUGCCCAAAACACAGGGUGGAAGAUCACAUGUUAUUAUACAAUUGGAGGAAAGUUUUUUUUUCUUUUCAAAGUGUUGAAAUGUGAUGUUCCGUCCUGUGUUUCAAACACACUAAAAAAUAUGUCGUUAUUGUCAUUGUAUAAACAGUUUUUACCAACAUCAACUUCGAAUACUUUGAACAGGUAAAAUACACUAGUACAAAGGCCUUGUUUGGCUUCGAGGGCUGGACAUGAAUAAAAAUGGAUGUCAAACUUUUCAAAUGUUUUGUAAGUUUAAGGUAAAAGAUGGGUUAUUCAAGUAGGAAACCUAAUCAAUUUUUUAACUUCAACUGAAACAACAUUUGGGAGUUGUUGACGUGCAUUUCUCUUUUAUAACAUACAUUAGAAUGUAGAGUUAUCCCUUUCAAGUUUCAACUCAAUCUUAGAUACCAAAUAAAACAGGUCAAAGUUCCUACCAAGGUGAUCAACUUGAUUACUUACCAGGUAUAUGAGGAAAUUUUUUGGGCAAAAAAGGUCGUGCCACGCCUUUCUGAAUUUUCCAAUCCAGUGGGUUUAUACUAGCUGCUUCCAAUUUCAGCAAAACCUCGCCUUUCUUCGGAGUGGGUAUUGGAACCUCUGCAUGCUGCAACAAAUUUCAUAAAUAAAAUACAGAUACAAAAAUUAUAAAACUCUACUUUUUUUUCCGUUAUAGAACUCGAGUUUUUUUGUUUCAAGCCAACGAACAUUGAGCACUUCGUAAAAAAAAAAAAAAAGAAAGGGAAAAAUGUAACAGAUAAAGAAAAAGGAACCUGUAAACCAGAAGCUCCUCCACCAUAGCGGACGUACUGCACCGCAUGCAUAAGCUUGGGCGCCAUGCCUGCCAUGCAAACCCUAGUGGGAACUGUUAAAAUAUUAAUGUUAAGUUGCUAUUUAUAUCAAUCUCUAUACGUAAAGCCAGCAGGCCAAUAUAUACAACCAGAACCAGGACAUGCUUGUUGAGAAAAGUCAGAUAGAUGAAAAGUCAAGCCUUGAAGAAGAAGAAGUUGGAAGUCAGAAUUUGCAACUCUCUACAAUAAAAGGUGAUGAAAAGAAAAUUCACAAGUGAGAAAGUACGAACUGAAAACUCUCCACCACCACACAAACGACGGCAUUAGCUGUGUAGGGGGCCAUAUGAUCAGAGAGGCGGAACGAAGAGUCGCCUCCCGUGUGGUGAGAGAAAAGUCUUCACCAAAUAAAAGCUUGUAAAAGAGAAUUUUGGCACGGAACAAUCAGAAUCUAUUAACAAGAAAAUGUGAACAUUAGAUCCCAAACCUUAUCAUUUACAAUACAAGACCUACACAUCACUGGAAGAUAUAACAAAUGACACAACUCUAGAUAAGUGCAUAAUGUUUGCAUAUCCCAUUAAAAACCACUAAGAUGUAUCUUGUCUACUUAAGGCUCGACAAUAAUCUUCCCAGUCGCAUGUCUAUCGAUACUCUUAGCCCAAGCGUCUUCAGCCUUGCUCAGAGGAUGUGUCGAGUCGAUCACUGUCUUGAGCUUUCCUUCAUUGACCAACGAAACUGGAUACUCCAAGUUGUUGAGGAAAAUUAGAGUACACAACCCUAACACAAAUAUUGGAGAGACAAAACAAGUAAACAAAUUAUUUGUAUUACACUCACAGAAUAUUACAACACAACAACUAUCAAGGGCAUAACUUAGAAGCUAUGACACUCUCUUUUUCUAAAGACACACUCUAGACCACUCACACUCUUCACAAAACUACUCACUCACAAGGCUUCUCACUUUCUUACUUAGCUCUCUCUUAGUUUCUAGUUUCCUCUCUUACUUUCUUACUUCAUUACUACUUACUUUUCUUACUUUCCACCAUUACAUAUUUAUAGGCUUGCUAAACCGACUUACUAAGGGGGUGGUUUGAGAGUGAGGUGCUUAAAAAAAAAGCACCCAUGAAAAAAAGCUGUGAGGGUUUUAGGUGUUUGGUAAACUGAAAAAAAAUGGCUUAUUUUGGAAGCUGCUGUGAGAAUAAGCUGAAAUCAAAGGAAAAAGCUGAAGCUGCUAUUUGCAGCUUUGGAAAACUGGUUUUUUUUUCAAAGCACACGGAGCUACAGUGCUCCUUUAAUGAAAAGACCCACUAUCAGACUUUUUUUUUUUUCCAAAAGCACUUUUACAAAAAAGUUUACCAAACACUCUGCUGAUUUAUUUCACAACCGCUUAUUCUCACAGUAGCUUUUUUUUCAAAGUACAGCAAUACCAAACCAGUCAUAAAUCGGUGAAAUGGACUCAUUUCAUCCUAGCCAUUGUUCUAGACUUUUCUACAAACAGCCCACUGACAUGGGCUGUGUUUAUGACCACACAUUUGUUACAAUAGCUAGAAAAAGAGAGUGUCAUAACUUUUUAAGCUAUGUGGUCUAGCUUAUGUAUGCUUUUUACUUUGAUUUUUCACCAUGGGGUAAACUUUAUUCUUUGGGCUCUUUGGGCUCGUGUUGUACUUUUAACACAAGUUCUCAGCCUAAUUCAAGAGCAGUGGCACCAGCUGCUUCUUUGAGAAGGUGAGCUUCUUCAGAGCAAAAGUAACCAAGGCACUUGACCUUCCCGCUGGCACUCAAAUUAGGCUCAAAAGUUGACCAGGGAAUGCACAGUGGACCACAGCACCAUAUUUCCGACCGGAUGGGCUAUUCAGAGGAGCUGCUCCUUCUGGGGUCUUGUAAUCAAGGACCUCAUCUAUCCGUAAGCCUCUUGACAAAUUCAAUGUUAGAAGCUCCACAAGUGGCUAACAUGAGUGUUUCCGAGCUUUGCUAGUUGGACUGCAUACUGACCCACACCACCUGAUGCAGCAGUAAUAAAAAAGCUCUUUUGCUGGCCACUUCCGUCGAGCUUGACCCCUGCAUUGCGUGAGACUGGUGAGCUGUGAGACCAGCAAUAGGUAACCCUGCAGCUUCAGCAUACUCGGCCAGUCCACCUCCCUUUUAUAUGGUAACAAAGUGAGGCACUGGUGAUAGCAGUGACAAACACAUGGAGACCGAACUUAACCAAAGGAAUAAAAUGAACAGGUACAGCUUGGGAAAGAUAUGCCACAACUUUAAUUGUCGCCCGGUUUGAACUUUUGGGUCCCUUCCAACUUCUACAACCUCUAGCUCCAGCAACAUCAGUAACUGUUUUCAAUAACAUCAUUGGUCAAUGUCAACAAACCAACUUACCAGACUCACAGACAUGAAUGCAUAAACCACAAAACAACUCAACUCGCAAUAAACACACAGCGUAUGCUUUAUGUGUGUUUAUUGUUCGCCUAUUUGUAGACUUAAAAGAGUUUAAGUUUAUAGACUUCAAGAGUUUUUCAUAUUCACAUCGAUAAGUAACUCCAAUGUAUAGGUAUUACACAUUGGCCCCAAGUAAACAGCCAAACAAUUAACAUAUUUACAAUAAUAACCCUUGGAUUAGUCUACCAAAACAAAGCUUGUAAAAGAUAAAUGUUUGCAGGAAAGUAUCAGAAUUAGCGUAUUGACAGGAAAAUGUGAACAUUAGAUCCAAACCGUAUCAGUUGCAAUACAAGACUGAAGACCAACACAUCAUUGGAAGACAUAACAUAAGGCGCACAACCACCUGUAUGAGAUAACUCUUGUUUAAGUACAUGAAGAUAUAGUUUACAUUCCAUUAAAAAUAUCAGUAUGAUGUUACAUCUUGUCUACUUAAGGCUCGACGAUGAUCUUCCCGGUCGCAUGUCCACUGAUACUGUUAGCCCAAGCAUCUUCAGCCUUGCUCAGAGGAUAUGUCGAAUCAAUCACUGUCCUGAGCUUUCCUUCCUUCACCAACUUAACGAGAUACUCCAGGUUCUCAGCCUUGGCAUUCAUGAGCAGCGGCACCAGCUGCUUCUUUGAGAAGGUGAGUUUCUUCAGAGCAAAAGUAACCAAGGCACUUGGACCGGGAGUAAUGUCUAUCACCUUCCCGUUGGCGCUCAAAUUAGGCUCAAAAGUUGACCAGGGAAUGCCGGUUGCACAGUGGACCACGGCAUCAUAUUUCCGACCAGAUGGGCUAUUCAGAGCUGCUCCUUCUGGGGUCUUGUAGUCAAGAACCUCAUCUGCCCCUAAGCUCUUGACAAAUUCAAUGUUCCGAGCUCCACAAGUAGCUGUAACAUGCGUGUUUCCAAGCUUUGCUAGUUGGACUGCAUAUUGACCCACACCACCAGAGGCAGCAGUAAUCAGUAUGUUCUUUUGCUGGCCGCUUCCGUCCAGCUUGACCCCAGCAGCCUGCGUGAGACACUGGUGAGCUGUGAGGCCAGCAACAGGUAAGCCUGCACCUUCAGCUGCUGAUACUUCAGGUGGCCUGGUCACUGUCAAGUUCUCAGUAGCUGCAGCGUACUUGGCCAGUCCACCUCCCUUUUAUACGACAACAAAGAAAAGUGAGCCACAGAUGAUAGCAGUGACAAACAAAUGAAGAUAGGAUUUAACCAAAGGAAUAAAACGAAAACUUACAGCUUGGGAAAGAUAUGCCACAACUUUGUCGCCAGGUUUGAACUUUUGGACCCCCUGUCCAACUUCUACAACCUCUCCAGCAACAUCAGUAACUGUUUUCAACAAUAUCAUUAGCCAAUGUCAACAAACAAGAGUGUACAAACCACAAAACAACUCGUCUUGCAAUAUAGGAGCAUAAUUUGUUUCAGAAUGUUGCUAAUUUAUCUACCUCACAACUCUCCCCAACAACACGAAACUGAUCAAAUUCCGGUAAAUGUAUCAAUCAGUUCAACGCUGUAGUACUUAAUCAAACACCGGGAAAAACAGAAAUUACCGGGUGUAUAAGGGAAUUUGCGGGGCAAAAAAGGCCGCAACAUGCCUUUCUGAAUUUUCCAAUCAAUUGGGUUUAUACUGGCUGCUUCCAGUUUCAGCAAAACCUCGCCUUUCGUCGGAGGGGGGAUCGGAACCUCUACAUGCUGCAACAACCAUACAAUUUUGCAUAAACAAUUUAUUAAGGUAGCUCUCACAUGUACUACUUUCUCCAUGGAUUUUUAUUGCCCUUCAAAAUCAAGGGCACAUAUUCAAUCAACAUUGCAGCAUUUUCUCAAGAGUUAUCAUUCAUCUCUUCGGUUUUUAUUUUAUUUAUUUGGGAUUUCAGAGCCUAAUUAUACAAGUAAUACAUUUUCUUUUUACACCGAAGAGUAUUGAGCAUUAAUGAAAUCCCAGAAGCAAAAAUCACCAAUAAAAUAAGAAUAAAAGACAUGAGAAAUCUACAAAAUAAUGUUUUUACAGAAAAAUAGAGAAUAAAAAAGAAGGCGACAAUCGUAAAGAAAGAACCUUUAAACCAGAAGCUCCUCCGCCAUAGCCGUCGUACUGAACCGCAUGCAUAAGCUUCGACGCCAUUGCUGCCAUCCCCUGAGUCGGCAGAGAGAUAGAGAGGGGCGACAGAGAGUGCGUGUGUGUUUUCCUAGAUUCUUUGCGGGAGCGGCUUUAGACGUCUUGUAUACCAGACGUGGACGCACAGCAAGUUGCCAAGUGUUAUAUUAUUGUGAAUGACGGAAAUAACCUUUUAUUUUAUUAUAUUGAUGUUUCGGUUUUCGAUUUUUCUCGAUUUUUUUAUUACCAAAAUAUAAAAUUUGGUGUUUUAAGAAAAGAGAUUGUUAUUGGUACUUUAAAAAUCUAAUUUUGCACUCCAAACUUUCUAUAAUUAGAAAGAAAAAAACGCUUGUGAGGAGUGUAGAAUGAGAUUUAUGAAAUGUCCCUUAAGAAAUUCUAUGUAAUUCAAUGAAAUUAUAUGUAAUUAAAUAUUGAUCACUUAUCGAUAAAAAAGUAAAAACGAAGUCAAAUAUAUAUUGACCUUAAAUCGUUCAAAUACUAAACCAUUGUAUCCCACUUUUUCAGGGCCUAAAAAAGUGAGUAAUAUUAUUCAUACUAUAUUUUUGUACUACAUUUUCAUAUCAUCUUAAGUGGCAUUUGAGGUAAACAGUUUAUUUCUUGAAAAAUUAUGAUAAAAAAAUUGUAUGCGGAGAUUUAUCGAAAAAAAGAAAAUUGUAUGCAAAGAGUACUGACUUUUUAAUAUAGUAAGCUAACUACAAUUUACAUCAUAAUUUUACAAUUGUAUCAAUUUACAUCUUUUGAAUAUUUGAAUGUACUAAUAUCCAUUAAGUUGAUGAGUUUUUCAAUCAAUGUGGUGCAUAUAUAACUUACAAAUCAUCGCAAUUACGGAUUUCAUAAUUACCAUGUCAUCAACUUGAUGAAGAUUUAAACACUAACAAAAUGGUACAAGUCAAAAUCUUAGGGGGCAAUACGAAAAAAAUAUAGAGGGUGUAAAAUAUAUAUAGCCAUAAUAUAAUAGGAUGUAUGGGAUGCACACCCAACAAUACUUACUAUAAAAUGUACUUAACAAUAAAAUUAACAUUAAUUUAUAUCCAUACCUUAUCAUUUACAAUACAAACACCCACACAUCAAUGGGAGAUAAAAUAAAGCACACAUGAAAUUUACAUACCACUUAAGAAACACUAAGAUGUAUAUACAUGGGUAAUGCUAUCCACACACCUUUAUUUACUUUUCACAUACCCCUCUCAAUUUUCAACUGUCUAGUCGAGUGAAUUGAAGGUGAUCAAAAGACAGAAAUUAACAAAUGGCAUGUGAAUAGAACCACCCUGUCUCUUGUCUACUUAAGGCUCGACAAUAAUCUUUCCAGUCGCGUGUCCAUCCAUACUCCUAGCCCAAGCAUCUUCAGCCUUGCUCAGAGAAUACGUCGAGUCGAUUACCGUCUUGAGCUUUCCUUCCUUCACCAACUUAACAAGAUACUCCAAGUUCUCAGCCUUGACAUUCAGAAACAGUGGCACCAGCUGCUUCUUCGAGAAUGUGAGUUUCUUCAGUGCAAAAGUAGCAAAGGCACUUGGACUGGGAGUGAUGUCUAUUACCUUCCCGUUGGUACUCAAAUUAGGCUCAAAAGUUGACCAGGGGAUGCCAGUUGCGCAGUGGACCACAACAUCAUAUUUCCGACCAGAUGGGCUAGUCAGAGCUGCUCCUUCUGGGGUCUUGUAGUCAAGAACCUCAUCUGCCCCUAAGCUCUGGACAAAUUCAAUGUUACGAGCUCCACACGUGGCUGUAAC
rnacentral:lncRNA from 1 species